UUAGGUAUGAUUUUAGUUGUUUUAAGUUUGAAAAACUUUCUUUUGUCCUUCAAACAUACUUAUAACAUCCAAUAUCUUUCAAAGUAACAAUUGUAAUGGUAUCUGUAUUUAAAGGAAACAGUAAGCACAUCAAAGUAAAGAUGGAGGGUAGUGUGCCUACGACUUGAGUGGUUUAAAAAGUAGUUCAUUGAUACGAUUCUUCAAUAUUUCCUCUGGAAAUCGAAACUCAUCGCCAUCUGAAUAUGCGAAAUAAGACGAUUUGCAUGUCUUCCAAAAAAUAUCCUUGCACACUUGUGGCAAUUGGCUUCCUUUUCUUUGAAUUAGAACCAUCCCUAGCAACUCUCUUCUCUUAUUUUCCAGCAUUUCCUUUGCAUGUUUUAUAGCUUCUUCUUCAGAGAUUUUUCCUUCACUCUGAUUUAUUAAUAUCGAGACUAUAUUUGUUGGUGAACUCUCUGCUUCUUCUCUCUGUAAGAAAACGUGAGAGAGGAUCAAGUACAAAUACUACUGUAUCAAAAGAUCAAUACUGUUAUGGUAAAAAUUUACAUGCAUUCGAUCUUUACACAAAAUCAUAUAACUUAAUAAUUAGCAUUAUUAAGUGAUUUUAUAUGGUGAUAAUAUAUAUUAAUUAGCUAUACGUAAGUCAAAGAAGUCUAUUAAUUUGUUGUAAACACCGGAUGCGGAUAAAUUUUAUUCUGUAGUGAGUUCUAUAAAUUAGUUUCUUAUUUUGUAUGCUUAAUGGAAGUAGUGUCGAACCUAAGAAUUUGUCCCAUACUUUACACGAAAUAAGGUAAAUUAUAUUGAGAAGUUAUCUAAAGAAGUAGUUGUCAAAUAGUUUUACCCUGCAUAUAUUUCAUAAUGGUGGCGUGUGCAAAUUAAUUUGUGUCCACCUCAGCUAUUUUAUUGAUACCUCCUACCUCCCAUCAGCAAAGAUAUCAGUAAGUACUCCGCCCACUAAAGUUUAGACAUAUGAAGAAAAAUCACAUAACAUUCUGUUUCUAUUGCAAUUUGAACCCUAGUUUUCAAGAUUUUUACCCACUUUAUUGAUGCUAAGCCAUACCCUUCGAGUGAAGAUCUCCUUUACAAGAUAAUUAUUAUCUAUCAUCAUAUGGAGUGACAGAGGCACGUUUGUCCAAGGGGUGUCAAUUUAUACCACUUUGCUCCAAAAAAUUUCAUUAUGUAGCUAAGUAAAAUUUUAGUUUUUUUUAUGUAUAUACAUUAAUAUAUUAAAUCUCUUUUAUCUUUUCAUGUGUUACUUCUUUAUAUUUUAAUGCCGUUUCGUGAAAAUGCCAGACAAGUUGCUCCCUCGCCUCGCAGCGGCGGCAUCUGUCUUUUAAGUCAUUUCCUAAGACGGCUACUACUUAUCACAUGAGAAAUGUUUUGGUGGAAAGGAAAAGAAAAAGUAGUUUUAGAAGGAAUAUUACCUUGUAAGAUCCCACAUCAUUAAGGAGUCGUGCCACCAUACUGGUACAAUUGCACAAGGCACUCAUUUCAGAACUCUGUAAAACAUCAUUGGAUAGUUUUGGCCCAAGAAGACAUUGUGUUAUGAGAGUAAUGCAUCUAACACCAAUAGUUUCACAGGCCACAGACAAAUACUCUUCUAUGCUUGGUGUUGUCUGAUUUCUCCACCACUCAAAUUCUACCAGCAUAUUCUUUAACAAAUCAAGCCACUAUACCAAAAAAAUAGACAAUUAAAAAAAUCUGGAAAAGAACAUCAUGGGAAUGUGAAAGAAUAAGGGUGUAUUUUGGUACGAAGGAAAAUAUUUUUUGGAAAAUAACUUUCAUUUUUCAAUCACACGUCGUAAAAUAGUUUCCUUAAAAGAAAGUUAUUUUUUAAUAAAAUGACUUUCGUCAUACCAAACACACCCUAAGAGUACUUUUUCCAUACCAAGUUUAUAAAGUGUUCUUUGAUGCAUUGACCUUGCUUAAUAUUUGCUUUUGCCGCAAGCUCCUCUAUCGUUUUGUAAAGUGCUGAAAAGAAAAUUUUUAUCCUCUCUGAAUGGAAUUGCACUGUUGAGUAAUUACCGUCCCACCUGAAAAAAAAUCAGAUAUAGCCUGAUUUAAAACUGGUAAUUGAGAAAUAGCUACAGUUUUUUAAAUAAUCGUAUUUUAGCCACUUUUUUUAUGUAAGGAUAAAAUCUGAACAAAAACACCCUUACAAAUUUGGACAAAUUCCAGAUAUAGUCCACUUGUCUAAUAGGGACAUAAUUUAAAGAGUGACCUAAAAAAGACGAUUUGUUCAAACACCCCAAGUCCAAGUACCGACUCUAAAAUAAUAAAAAGGAACAUGGAUAUAGAAGGGGUUUAAUUUGUCGAAAUAUUAUAAGCAUGGAAGCAGAAAAUUUACCUUUCUACUAAUUCAAAGAUGUUGAGCAAUUCAUCUUUGCCAACAUAUCCAUCGAAAAAAUCAUCCACUAAAGUUAGAAGCAUGGUGUUCUUUACACAUGCAAGACGAGCGUCAGAAAAUUCCGGUUCGUAGAGUAAAGCAGCAGUCAGGAAGAAAUUAGUGUAUAAAUUCUGUUGUGGCAAUCCCACUUGUUCUAGUCCGCAGUCCUCGAACCAUCUAUACUUUCAUAUAAUCGUAAGUGGUGUCCAAAAUGACAAAGUCUACUAAAGCAAUAUAUUUCACCUAUAUAUAUAUAUAUAUAUAUAUAUAUAUUCGUAUAACUUCGUAUAAUNNNNNNNNNNNNNNNNNNNNNNNNNUAUUGAUCCUUCGCCGAUUGUAGUUGCGCUAGUGUCCAAGAAUGACAAAGUCUAUUAAAGUUAUAUUUGACUUAUAUAUACAAUUUAAUUUUUCAACAAGGAAUCUUCACUUGACUAGCUUUCACCGAUUGUAGUUGCGUCCCUAGUGUCUAAGCUCCCGUUUGACUAUAGAUUUUAGCUUUAUUUUUUCAAAAAAAAUUUAAAACAUUGUUUGUUUAAGAAAUAUGAUUAUGUUUUGCGGGAAAAAUAUUCAGAAAUUUUCAAGUUCCCAAAUUAGUUUUUGGGUGAAAUUUUUUCUUCCACUCACAAAACUUUAAUUUUUCUUCAAAUAAAAUGCAUGUCCAAACACAACUUCAACUUUCAAAAAUUAUUUUUCAACACAACUUCAAAAACUCUUUUUUCAACUUCAACUUUUCUUCAAAUAAAAUACAAGAUAUAAUGAAGCUAAUACAAGGGGUGAUACAAGUGAAGAUACCUCUUGAGUUGUUGAAGUUCUUCUUGAUGUUGGGCUUGGCACAAAUUAAAAUCCUGCUUUGAGAACCUUAGUAAAUCUAUGCUGUUAAUAGUGGGAGACCUAAUAACAGCGAGAAAUUAAGAGCUUACAAAGAUUUAACUUUUAUAGAUUGAACAACAAUAAACGAAUAAGACUAUAUAUAAAUUUAUAAAUCAUUGUGCUAGAAUAAUUACCUGUAAGCAGCUUUUAAGAUUUUAAAAUUGUUCACCUCAUAUGCCUCGUUAUAUCGUCGAUUUUCCACUCGACCAUAUGUGGCGUAAAACUUCCUCAAAGCAAACUCCGCCUAAUAUUUCUUAGAUUAAUAAUUUGGAAUGCUAUAUAAUUAAAGCUUGUAAGGAGAAAAGAAAAAUAAAGCUAAUACAAUUGUUAUUAUCAUUUCAAAUAAUGACUAAGGGUUAUGACAACAAUAAUGGCAAGCAGUGGCGAAGCUAGAAUUUUUUUCAAAGGUAUUCAAAUUUGAAAGAAGUAGAAAAAAAACUCUCGACAAAGGGUGUUCAAUAUGUGUUAUAUACCUCUAAAACGUAAUAAUUUACAUAUAUACAUAGUGUAAUUUUUCGACGAAGAGUGGUCAGUUGACCACUCUUGUGACCAUGUGGCUUCGCCACUGAUGACAAGCGAUACCACCAAGGGUUACGGUUAGAUGCAUAGUAAUUCUUCACUCUUAACUAGAAGUCUCAGGUUCAAGUGCGGUAAAUAAAAAUAUUUUGGUAAGGAGCGGUUUUUCCUUAAAUGAGGCUUAUGCGGUGCAAAUACCUCAUUUUUUGACAUCCUAUCAAUGUAGUCAUAGGUUAGGAGUUUUUGCUCCAUAAAAGAUCCUGUCCAAUUACUAAUUUUGUCCAAAAUGUGAUCUUUCCCAUGAAUAGCCAAUUGUGAAGCUUUGUGGAGCUCAAGAAUUUCAAAAUGACUCGUAAAUUUCCCACUUGUUGAAAAGAAAUGUACUUCAUCAACAAAUUCAACUAGUUCUUCUGCAAAAAGAAGAAUCGAAUCAGUAAUUGAUAUGUUAUGUACAACUACAAAUUUUGCAGCCAGAGUUCUUAAUAUUUCUUAAUUAAUUUCAAUUUUUUAUGUCUUACUUUUUUUGUCUGUUACAAAACAGUGGCGUACACAGAAUUUUACGUAAGCGGUGUCAUAAUUUAAAGAAAUAAAUAAAUGAAUAAAUCAUUAUAAUUACAAACGAUGUCAUAAUUUGAAGAAAUAAAUAAAUCACUAUAAUUACAAGUGGUGUCAUUUUCUAUACGUAUCCCCAAUAAUUAUUUUUUAUAGAUAUCUAGUGAAAUUUUUGACCAAGUGAUUUCCCAUGACACCUCAUGGUAUAAGGUACAUACGCCUAUUUCAAAAAAAUGUCACCUUUGUAUGUUUACUAAUUUUUCAAUUCCAACAUUUCUAUAAUGACUUGACUUAUAAGAAUGACAUGAUACGUUUAAAAUCAAAAUUUAAUGCAAAAGCUAUUUUUGGUAAUGUUAUACACACAUUUUUAAUUAAGAACCACAAGUUUAAAAAAAUAUAUUCGUUAAAUAUUUAAACAGUGAAAUAAAGACAUACAUAAAAUAAAGCAGACUGAAUAAAAAUUUACCUGGGGAGACUUCAUAGUUACUCAUCCGUAAAAGCCGAAACGCCAAGGCACAAUGGGCAACGUUUGAAAAAAUUUCUUCGUUCUUUUGUUGCCAAAGCCUAUAAAUAAUUUACCAUUAUUACAAUUUACAAGAGGUUUAAAAGAAACUGUAAAUAUUAUUGUGAUCAAUAACAUGUACCUGUAAAUUUCAUCUAGAACAUUUUCUAUUUCUGUUUUAAAAUGCCGAUCUACUCCCAGACUUUGAAGGGUAUCAACCAAGCAAAGCAAUGAAUGUAUCUUCGUUGGGUAGAUAGUGGGAACUAUGAGAAAAACAACGAGAGAAAAAAAAACGAAAUAUAUUAGCAAAUCAGACAAAUAGUAACGAAAUAUAUUAGCAAAUCAGACAAAUAGUACUAUGGGAAGCUAUAAUGCUCGAAUUCUCCAAAUAUAAUGUAGCAUUCAUGUCGGAUCUUCUAAAAAUACAUUAAUUUUGUAGGAUUCAAUACACCGCCGGAGGCAUUUUAGUAGAAUCCGAGCAAUAUAGAUGGGAGGAUCAGAGAUAGAUCUAGAAUUUUUAGAACGUGUGCACACCAUUAAAGGAUGGAGGGAAAAAAGUUUUAAAUGAUAAUCAAUCUAUGUUCCUUUGGAUAAACAACUGAGUAUUCAACCAAGUGCAUUAUUCAGCUUUUUCAGAGCAUGGAGUCUAGUAGAUAUUAUACCAACAACAAUAAUAAUAAUAAUAAACCGAGUGAGUGUGGGUUCUGGGGAGGGUAGUGUGUACACAGACCUUACCCUACCCUAGAAGGGCAUAGAGGUUGUUUCCGAUAUACCAUCGGCUAAAGACAAUGAACAUAAGCAGUGGCAGCAAGUGGUAACAACAACAACAUAUUAAGAAAAUCGAAGCAAAAGAAUGCAAUCAAACAGUAGGUAGUACCAGCAAUCCAAGAAUAAAGAGAUACCAUGCUAACACUAAUGUUACCGAUCUAAGAAAAAAGAAGCAGAUAAUAUUAGACCAAUUUUAGAAAAUAUGCAUAUAAAAUAGCUAAUUUGACGGAGAAAUCAUGGGUUCACGUGCCAUAAUCUGGGCUAUAAAUCCGCUCCUGGGGAGGAUUGGAUUAUACCAUUGACAUAUAUAGGAAGUUUCUUAUUUACACACUCCAUCUAUCAAUUUGAUUGAAAAGUAUUAAUUAACACAUAAUCUGAAUGUUUUGAGAUGAUGGUAGUGCAUACCCCAAUUUUUGUGUAGUUUCAAGAUUGUAUUCAAGUAUUCAAAGCAUUUUUCAUCGUGUUGAUGGUAAAUCAAGGCAGCUGCAGUAGUGGCUGGUGAAUCAAAUAAUGAUCCAUUGUCUCUUUGAUGUACCAUUAUUUCCUUCCAUUGACAUAAUUCACUAAGUCCUUCAGCCAUAUAUUCAAAAUUUGCAAUAUUCCCCUUGAAAUCAUUCUGUAACGCCCUAAUAAUUUGCAAAAAUUAUCAGACAAUGAGUGUAUAAAAGUAAAUAUCUUUUGUCUGAUGCAAUUCAAGAUGCAACAACAACAACAAUAACCCAGUAUAAUUCCACUAGUGGGGUCUGGGGAGGGUAGUGUGUACGCAGACCUUACCUCUACCAUGAGGUAGAGAGGUUGUUUCCAAUAGACCCUCGGCAUCCUUCCCCCCAAGAACUCCCCACCAUGCUCUUGGGGUGACUCGAGCUCACAACCUCUUGGUUGGAAGUGGAGGUUGCUUACUAUCAGAGCAACUACUCUUGUCAUGCAAUUCAAGAUGAAUUUUGAAUAUAAUUAAGAAACAUGUUGAGUCACAUUACUAUAAGUAGAUAGGGGGCGGAUUUACCAGAGCCCAAGCGGUGUUACGUGACACUGCUUGGUCGAAUAUUUUACCAAAUAUGUAUAUAUAAUUAAAAGGCAGAAAAAAUACCGAUAAACAAAACAAAGUGAUAUCACUUGGCAUAAAUAAUUGUGUAGCUCUUUCAAUCAGGCGCCUUAGUAUUCUAGUCGAGGUUCAAACCUCGGAAUCUUUAUUUAAUAUUUCAAAUUUUUUGUGUCUCAUUUAUAGAAAAUAAAUUACAUUGUGUUGAGCAGGAAUCAAACAGUUGACCUCUUAGAAGCUAACAAAACUUCUAGCCAUUCUAUCAGGAGUCACUUUUGUAAACUCAGGUGACAAUAAAUUAUUUGGAUUAUUAAGAAGGAUGCAUGCUGCUUCCAUGAUUAGUUGUUGUUCUAUUCUUUUUCUUUUUUCUUUCGUCAUUUAUUUGCCAAUUCAAUUAAAUAAGAACGAUUUGUCGAAUCAAAUAAAUUAUGAACAUUUAGUGAUCAUUAGGUCCUUUAUAUAGAAAAAAUAAUUUAUUUCUAAUGAGGUUAUUUUUUGAAUACUUUUUAACAUUACGAAACUCAUCUAAAAGAGUUGUAGUAAUAUACUUGAGUUGUGUUUUAUUAAUAUGAUUCGAAUUGUAUUUUCUAUUUUGUAUGAUGUUGUUAGUAGUAUUUUGUUUAUUUGUUUACUUUUAAAGUGUGAUACCGCUUCUCACAAAUCCUAGGUACAUCGCUAUAAUUAAGUUUUGCACUUCAUGUAUUUAGUAUGCUCUUGCUUUGUCUAACAGGCGUGGCUCGUAGACAAUCCAUCGGCACUUGUGUUUUUGUAAACCAACACGGCACCACUGCUGUAAAUCCACUGCAAGUGUCAGCACAAGACAACCACAACAAUCAAGAAUGUAGCUAUAUAGAUACUGAAACCACAAAACAUUACAAAACUUUUAUAGUAGAAAUACUCUCCUUCCUCAUGCUCUUGGCGCACGUUAAUUAACGUACGCCGCCUAUGUCAGCCAUGGCGAAAGGGAGAGGUAGAGGACGUGGUCGACCUAAGUUGCAACCAUUAGCUACCUUUGUAAGCUCGGUGAUAACUCGUAAUCAACCAUCGAUGGAGAAAUCAACACAAGAAAUAACUACACCACCGUCAGUCCCAAUUGCAAAUCCAGCGAAAAACGGAGGCACUGCAUGUGAAAUUGGAUCUUCAUCGACAAACACUGGUAUCUCUAAGAGGUUAGAUCUGAACACCCUAGUGACAAUUGGUCAAUUAGCAACUUCUCCACCAGUACCAGAAAAUGGAACAAUAGAUCUGGUAAAUCAAGCUCAAAAUCAAGUAAGUAUACAAGGUAACUCGGAGAAAUCAACAGUGGAAGAGGCGGCGAUGGCAAAUAAGACUACUAGACCUAAAGCUUCAUGGACAACCCUAUUUCAGAAGAAUAGAUGUGCCACCAAUGGUAUGUCACUAUCCUAUAUUCUGCCACAAAUUGUUGAUGGCCAACCUAUGGUUCAAUUAGAUGAAUUAGAAGUAGAGGAGGAAGAGAAAAUAUGGAAAUGCGUAUUGAUAGCAUAUAUCAUAGGUGAUGGACCAAGGUAAAAUGCAAUGAAGCGAUACAUCAAGUUACAUUAGUCACAUGUCACUGAACGUGAAUUGUUCUAUUAUGAUGAAGGCUAUUAUAUCAUUAAAUUUCAAUCUACAGUAGAUGCGUGAGAGAUAUUAUGUGCUGGCCCUUACUCAAUUGCUAAUAAGCCCAUCAUUCUAAAACCAUGGACUCCAGAUUUUGAUUUCACAGAGGAAUUCCCUAAUGUUAUGCCAUUGUGGGUAAAAUUUCCUAAGUUGCCUAUGUCGUGCUGGGGAGUUGGCUCUUUAAGCAGAAUUGCUAGUGUAAUCGGGACUCCUGUCUUUGCUGAUGAGUGUACUACUAAACAAACUCGAGUAUCCUAUGCUCGAAUGCUUAUUGAAGUUAAUGUUACAAAAGAAUUGCCCACUGAAAUUGUGGUUAUGGAUCCUUAUGGAAAGAAGUUUCUGCAGGCCGUAACCUAUGACUGGAAACCUUCUUAUUGUGACAAAUGUUUGGUUGUGGGACACAAAUGCACUACCCAAGCACAACCUAUAAUGCAGCAGUCUAAUCAGACAAUGAGAACAAGGGGUAACAAGGUUAUCACACAAGAAUGGAGAACCAAGAGGCCUAUACAUGUUGCAACUGGACCUCAGAAUGCAAAGCAAACUCCAUCUGAUGAACAACAGCUAGAAGGUAAUAAAGUGAAAGUUAUAGAUCAAAGAGGAACAACAAAGCUACCUGAUCCUAAGGGAACUAAUGCUCAACAUAACAUAAUUCCUGGAGCUGCGAGGGAGAAGCCGGAUGACAGAGGCAAAGCAGUGCAAAGCCCUGAGCUUAACUUCAUCAACUUUCGAGCUCUGACUCCCAUCCCAGUGAAGAAUAGAUUUGAAGCUGUAUCAACAAGUAGGCACGAAGAGCACAUACCACCUGCGGAUAGAGGUGGAAAUACCAUGCAACUAUGAUGAAUUGGUUGUUCUGGAACAUAAGGGGUGUUAAUAAAAGGUAUAAACAAAAGUAGGUUAGAGAUUAUAUUAGAGGAAAUAAAAUUAAGCUAGUAGGACUUAUAGAAACUAUAGUGAAGGAAGGGAAUGCUCAAAGGAUUGUAAAAGCUAUUGCACCUGGAUGGAAUAUGCUGACUAACUACAAGGAUGCAAGGAAUGAAAGGAUUUGGAUAUUGUUGGAUACCAAUAACUUGAUUAUUAAUGGUAUUAAAGAUGAUGCUCAAAUGAUACAUUGUUAGGUAAAAAGUAGAAGAAGUGAUAUUGAUUGCUAUUCACGGUAGUGUAUGGACACAAUGGGUUGGAACAAAGAAGAGCCCUCUGGGAUAACUUGCAACAACUCUCACUAAGUAUAGCAGUAUCAUGGAUGAUAGCUAGGGAUUUUACUGCAGUAUUAUACCCUAAUGAUAGACUAUCUUGUAAUCCAGUAAGCUACUCAGAAAUAUAAGACUUUGCUGCCUGCCUUCAACACACUACAUUGAUAGAACUACCUUGGAAAGGUGACUACUAUACGUGGUCUAAUAAGCAUCCUGAAGCAGAUAUGGUCAGCAGUAGAUUGGAUAGAGUAUUUGGCAAUUAUGAAUGGAUGAUGUCCUAGGGUCAUGUGGAAACAAGCUAUGGAUUGCCUCAAAUUUCAGAUCAUGCUCCUAUGCUGUUAACCCUAACAUCCUCCACAUGGAAAGGUAAAGUGCCUUUCAGAUUCUUUAACAUAUGGGCAGAACAUGAGGACUUUUCUCAAAUAGUUGCUAGCAUGUGGAGUUCACAUAGUCCACAUGGUACUUUGAAAUCAGCUUGGGCAAGAUUGAAAGACCUGAAACUUGCUUUGAAAGCCUUAAACUCUAAAGAAUUCAGGGGCAUCACUCAAAGAAUUGAGAAGGCUAGAAUAGAACUGAGAGACAUCCAAGGAAAAAUCUCACAAGGGUGCACUGAUGCUAUACUGGAUAUGGAAAAAAACACUACUGAACCUUGAGAAGUGGUCUUUAAUUGAUAAGAGUGUCAUGCAGCAGAAUGCUAGAGCAAAAUGGAUACAACUAGGAGAUUUAAACUCUAAGUACUUCACAGUAGUGAUGAAGGAUCGAACUCAAAAGAAGCAAAUCAUAGAAAUUACAAAUUUGCUUGGAGACAAGUUGACUGAACCUGAUGCUAUCAAAAGAGAGAUUGUUGAUUUUUAUAAAAGCCUAAUAGGAUCAGCUGCCGCUUCCUUAUCUUCCAUCAACAGAAUGUACAUGAAGAAUUCCCCUACACUAUCUCAUCAACAAAGAUUUGAUCUCUGUGCAGAAGUAACUACUCAAGAGAUUGUUGAGAGCCUUAAAGCAAUUGGUGAUGAUAAAGCUCCGGGUAUUGAUGGCUUUAAUGCAGUUUUAUUCAAAAAAGAAUGGGAAAUUAUCAACACUCAGAUCAUAGAUGUUAUAAAGGAGUUUUUCUCAACUGGAAAGAUCUAUAAGGCCAUAAACUACACCACUGUUACAUUAGAUUCUAAAGUGACUAAACCUACACAGUCAAAGAAUAUAGACCAAUCGCUUGUUGUUCAAUCUUAUACAAGAUGAUCUCUAAAAUCUUGGCUUCCAGAUUGCAGAAAGUCAUGCCUUACAUUAUUUGUGAAGCUCAAGAAGGCUUCAUCCCUGGUAGAAAGAUUGCUGACAAUGUCAUCCUAGCUCAUGAGCUAGUCAAAUCUUACACUAGAGCCCAGAUAUCUCCUAGAUGUAUGAUAAAGAUUGAUCUCCAAAAAGCUUAUAACUCAGUAGAAUGGAUCUUCUUACAACAGGUGAUAGAGGAGCUUAGAUUUCCUAACAGGUUUAUCAGAUGGAUAAUGGAAUGCAUUAAGACCGUCAACUAUACUAUCCUUGUGAAUGGAGAAACCACAGAAGCUUUCAAUGCUGCUAAGGGUCUUCGACAAGGAGAUCCUAUCUCUCCUUUCCUUUUUGCGAUAGUAAUGGAGUACUUGAGUAGAUCACUACAUGAGCUUAAGAAAGAGUCUAGCUUCCAAUAUCACCCCAGAUGUAGGAAGCUAGACAUUACUCAUAUGAGUUUUGCUGAUGAUCUCCUAUUAUUUGCUAAAGGUAACCUAUUCUCAGUGGCCACUCUAUAUAAAUGCUUCUCUCAGUUCUCUCAAGCAUCAGGCUUAUAGACUAAUCUAGGAAAAAGUUCAGUUUAUUUUGGUGGGGUGAAGCAGGAUGUGAAGGAACAAAUAUUGACUCACCUGGAUUUGAAAAUGGAUCCUUACCCCUCAAGUACCUAGGCAUUCCUUUGUCUACAAAGAAAAUAACUCUCAUACAGUGGCAACCUUUGAUUGAAAAGAUCACAACUAAGAUUUCUUCCUGGACUGCCAAAAAGCUCUUUUAUGCUGGUCAUGUGCAGCUGGUCCAAUCUGUAACUUUGGCAUUCAAGCAUAUUGGGCUCAAUUGUUUAUCUUACCUGCUAAGGUAUUGAAAAUGAUAGAGGCACUCUAUAGAAGUUACAUCUAGUCUGGAACUAACACAAUAACCAAGAAGUCCUUAGUAGCAUGGGAAAAGAUAUGUACUCCCAAGUCAGCUGGUGGACUUAACCUCAUCAACCUUUAUUUAUGGAACAAAGCAGCAAUUGCCAAAACUUGCUGGGACUUAGCACACAAACAGGACAAAUUAUGGAUAAGAUGGAUCAAUACAUACUAUACCAAACAACAUCAGCUACCACAGAUGCCAAUGCCACAGCAAGCCAGUUGGAUGGUGAGAAGAAUAAUUGGUUCUAGAACAACUAUACUGCAGACACAUAAUAUAAAUGAUAGCAGCAAGAGCAUUAUUAGACAAAUAUACCUACAAAUUCUAGGAGACUUACCAAGAGUCAGCUGAUAAUGUCUAAUCUUCCAAAAUACUGCUAGACCAAAGGCAGUCUUCACUAUGUGGUUGUUGCUUCAUGGACGAUUGCCAACUAAAGAUAGACUAGCCAGCUAGGGUUUAACUGUUACUCCUCAAUGUGUUAUGUGUCAAGAUCAAGAUGAAUCAAGGGAGAACCUAUUUGUUAAAUGCCCAUACACUAAAGAAUUGUGGGAGAAAGUCAUGAAUUGGGUUCAAAGAUCACAUAUGUCUACCACUUGCUAGGAUCAGCACCUUCAGUGGAUUAUCAAGCAAGGAAAAGGGAAGUCCAAGAAAGCUAGCAUCUUCAAAAUGAUAUAUGCUGAGAUUUCACAUGCAAUAUGGAUCGAAAGAAACACACGUAUAUUUGAGCAAAAGUAUCAAGGCAGUGAUGUUCUUCUGCGGGAGAUAGCAUAUAUUUGCCAUGUUAGAGUAGCUAAUCGAGCUAAGAGUUACAUACAACAAUUUUACCUAGGAACAUAGUAGAUUCAUUAGUUUUAUCUGUAAAUAGGUAUGCUUUGUUUGUCUUUUUUACGCCUUGAGAUAGUCAGCUGAGUUAGCCUGACUAUGGAUUUGUACAGCUCUUCUUUGGUGAUUAAUACAAAAGAAAGUUAAUUACCCAAAAAAAAAAAGAUACUGAAACCACUAUUUUUUGUAAUGAUCCAUCUACGGAUGAAACUAUAGAUGUAGAAUGUCUUUUUCCUUAUGCUACCAGUGGUGCACCUGCACCUCCCUCCUUGUAUGCUCCUUCUAUUUUGAAGUAAUGAAAUUACUUAAUCUUAUCGACCAAAAUAAAUGCUCUUGCUUUGUCUUAAUGUAAAAAGACCAUCCUUAAUUGCUUCGAGUAAUUUUUUUCUUGCACUAGCCAAAUAAUUAAUAAAAUCUGAUUCUUAGUUUUGUAAUGAGAUAACUCAAAUUUGGUUUAGACAAUUUUCAUUAGGGAAGAAUUCAAAAAUAUAUCUAGCAUCCAAAUAUAAUUCUCUUUGUAGGUAAUAUAUAAGGUAUACAAUAGUAAGAGACCAAAUUGCAUGUAGAGGUUUUAUUUGGAAUGGGACAUGCGCAAGGCCACAAAAUUAAUAUAUAUUCCCUGUAUAUGUAAAUUGAUAAUUAAACAAAUUAAUAAGCAAACCUUUCAAUUGCUAAAUCUCGGUUGCGAAUCGCCAGAUUGACAAUGUCAGGAUCCAAAGGCAGAUUUAAGUUCAUUUUUUCUGCGUAUUUGAUCAUACUGGGAAAUAUAAUCUCAAAUCCAACAGGUGAAAUCAGAUCCUUGUUAUCAACUGCCCAACCAUGCUUUUCAAUAAAGACAAGGCCUGAAAAGAAAAUGAGGCAACUCCACAAGUGAUUAGAAUACUACAAGAUGCAAACUCCUCCACACGUUCUAUUUAUCUAAUCGUGUUGAUAGUAUUAUUUUAGAUUUAAGUUAUAUGCGUCGACAGCGUGUAAAUAUUUUUUUACACUUAUAGCAAGUCAGUUACCGGCUUUACCACCACCACCACUAACAACAACAAUAAUAAUAACCCAGUGAAAUUUCAUAAGUGGGGUGUGGAGAGGGUAAUGUUUACGCAGACCUUAUCACUGCACCGAAGGAGUAGAGAGACUGUUUUCGAAAGGCCCUCGGCUCAAGGUGAUGAAAAGAGACAGUAGAUCAGUAUCAACAGCGGAGGCCAGAAAGAUAAUACCAGCAACAUAAGAACUAGAAAAUAGAGAGAAAAGCAAUAAUAAUAAGCAGUAACAAUGACAUAGUACUACAGACACGAUGAAGGUUACCAGCUUUACCAGAUAACCUAAUUAACAUUUAUAAAGAAAACUAAAUAUGAUCGUCUAUAAUAAGUGACCUGAUUAUGUAAAUAUUUUUAAAACCGUCCAUGUAAACUCCUUUUCUUUUUCAACAUUACUUUCUCACAAAAGAAAUUAAUUGAAGAAGGUUACCUCCUUGGACUUGGUUAUCUCCAACUCCCCAUUUGCGGAGGGCAAGCAAACAUGCUAAAGUUGAAGAAAGGGAGUCCUUGACAAGCAAUGAAUGGCUAGGAUUUAGCCCCCAAGAUCCAUCUUCUCUUUGAUUUUCAAGAAUCCAAUCCAAGCACUGUGGAAAACAUGGCUGAUUUACAGAAUUUAUUGAAGGGAUCAUAGCUACCCAUGCUGUGUCAUAGGAAGAAGGAGAUAGCUCUACUUUCUGAAAUGAUUUCUUUAUUCUCUCCUUUGCCUCAUCGAAACCAUCCUACAAAUGAGAGAUGGACUAGUUCUUUAACAAUAAGAUGAAGAAUUAUCCUAAAUAGUUACCGAACAAAUCACUUAAAUUAAUAAUAAUCCGUAAAUAUAUAUUAUGCGUAUAAACAUUUAUAAUCAGUAUAUAAUUUAUGUAUACUAGUUAGAAAAAGUAAGUUACGGCUAUUUGUGUAAAGAUCUAUGAUAAGAAAGAAGAAAAGGGAAUAGAAAGGAAUAUAUAAGUGGGACUUUGGACAAUAUCUGGAUAAAGUUAAAAACAAUUGAAAAGAAUUAUUUGGAAAUUGAAUUUGUUCUUCGAAAAAGACAAAAGUUUUGCAAGUGAAAACAAUUAUUUGACGUGAAAUAUUCAUCAAACUAAUUUCUUUUUUAACAUUUCACCAUUAUUUCAGAUUGAACAUAUUUGCAUAUUUGCAAGUAAAGUCAUGACCAAACACCCAUUUUGUGCAAUAGUUAGUAUAGAGGCGGACUCAGGAUUAGGUGGUCGCGGGGCACUUGUUAUUCAAUAUAAAUUUUUUACUGUUUAUAUAGAUUGGUACGGAGGUCUAUGCUAAUAUCACUAUUUUUUGAAAAGAUUAGCAAGUAUAUAUGAAGUUUUUGCCGAAAUUUCCGGAUCCCGAUGACUCCUCAACCUAUAGUGUAGGUUCGCCUCUGAGUUAGCGGAUAUGGACUAGUUCCUAUCAAUUAGGCUGAAUACAUAGACGACCUCCUAAACUUGUUCGGAUUUUUUUAUCUAAACACAACCUUGGUACACAUAGAUCUAGACUGGUUGAUAAAAUAGUUGUAGAUCGAUGGAGCUUUCCAAAAGAGAUACAUAUAUUUUGCAUAGCUAUAAAUUAUUGCAUAAAAGUAAUUUGUUUCCAAAUAUGAUAAAGAAAAUAAUUUGCAUAGCGGAUAUGGACUAGUUCUUAUCAUUUUUUUUACACAGACUGAAAAAGAAAAUAACUUCGGAUAAACUAAAAUGGAGAGAGUAUAUAAUAUUUCCUUUGAAUCAACACCCCCCAAAAAAAAAUGGAACAGAAAAGGGAUAUUACCAGUGAUGAAGCAAUACUGUAGCUGCAUCUUACUCCUCUACAUGGUCUCUGGCAAAUUGUAUUUUCUUUUGUAAGAAAACACACACACACAAAAAAUAAAAAAAAAACACACAAAUUAGGACAUAGUUACACAAUAAUUGAAUUACAAAAUAUAUUCUUGUAGUGAUCAAAAUUAUGUGUCUUACCAGUUGAUGAACAUAAUUUGCCAUUUCCCAAUUUAUGAUGAGAAAAUGGUAGUAUGAUAAUGCUUCCGUAGCCAAGUAUCAUUAUUUUAUUCUAAAAGAGUGGUGGGAAAGAGAGAAAGGAAGAGAGAACUAUUCGUAGAUAUAUUUUGCCACGUUUCUUUACCCAACCUCAUCCAAAUACCAAAAGUACUAAUUUCGUUAAUCCUGUGCCUCACACUAUUCUGGCUAGAUUACGUACGUCUAACGUUGCCCCCGAUGAGUUUAUAAUACUACAACAAUAACUCAGUAUAAUCCCACUAGUGAGGUAUAAGGAGGGUAGUGCGUACGUAAAUCUUACCCCUACCCUGGGAUAGAGAGGUUGUUUCCAAUACACUAUCGGCAUCCUUCCCUCCAAGAACUCCCUACCUUGCUCUUGGGGUGACUCGAACUCACAACCUCUUGGUUGGAAGUGGAGGGUGCUUACCAUCAGAGCAACCCACUUUGUCAAAAAUUUAUAAUACAAAAGUCAUUUUUUAAAUUUUUCGUCACAUAAAAGUCAUUCAACUUUGGUCUUGAUAACUAACACACAAUAAAGGCAAAUAUCAUCUGAAUUUUUGAAUUUUAUACCGGAAAUAUGCCAUGACACUCCAAAAUAACUAUGUAGUUUAAUAAAAUAUAAAUAUAAUAAAUUAAUUUUAGAGAGCCCAUGUUUCUCUUCGUAAUAUUACUCUCCCUUGUGGUUUAGGAAGAGAACAAUUUGUAGAUUUUUUUCCCACGUUUCUUUACCCAAUCUCAUCCAAGAAAGUACCAGAGUACGAUUAUGUUAAUUAUGUGCCUCACACCUUAUUUUGGCUAGAUUGUGUUAUCCGCACGUCUAAUCGUUGUCCCUAAGUAAUUUCCUUAGAAAUCUCACUACUAAGGGCUUGUAUGGAAAAUCACCUUAUAAUUGUAUUUGGAUGUAAUUAGAUGUAAUUAUACAGUUUAGUAUGUUUGUUAAUUAAGUAAUUACUUUAUCAACAUGAAAUUGAGUAUAAUUAAGAGGGACCUGUUACACUAGACAAUUCUCAAGGAGGGGCUAAAGUAUUGGAGGUAGUUACAUGAUGUAAUUACAUAAUAAUUUUUCUCUUAUACUUUUUCAAUUAUAUUCUUGUUUCUACUUUUUCUUUUCCGAUCCAUUUCAUUGAUUUUGUUAUGAAACAAUAAAAGAAGAAGAAGAGUAUUGAAUAGAAAAGUAGAGAGAGAAUUCUAAUUUAUUUGGGAUGAUUUAUAAUGGAAUAGAACCCCUUUAUUUAUAGGAAAAAGUGACUUAGUCACAAAGUAACAAACCCUAAAAUUUCUCUAAAAUAUUAACAUUCACCUUAAAUACAAUUUUAUUUAUAACAAUUCCCCCCCUUCCCCCCCCCCUGAAUGUCUAUUCAACAGAUAAUGUGCCUCGUUAAAAUUUUAACUAAAAUAAAAUCCAGUGAAAAAAAAUUCUAGAGAAGAAAAAAGAGUACACAUGUUUAGAAAUACGCCUUUUGGUUGCCUCGUUAAAAACCGUACAAGGAAAAUCUAGUGGAACAAAACCUUGUAAGGAAAAAAGAGUACAACACAUAUUAGCUCCUCCUUAUGAGAACAUCAAUUCAGAUAUUUGAGUCUUUGCAUUCCAAUCUUGUAUACUAUCUUCAAAAGAUCGUUGGUAGAGAUAUGAUAAGCAAAUCAACCAUAUUAACUCGAAUGAAUAUGUUGCACCAUGAAAUCAUCAUUCUUGAUAGAUAUGUAAUGUUGUCAUAUAAUAUCGUGGAAUUGUAACGACCCAUCUAGUCGUUUUGAGCAAUUGUGUCCAGUUUGGCAGUUUGAGGUCAUGGGUAGCUUCACCUAGUAUAUUAUGACUUGUGUGCAUCAUCGGCUCAGAUUUUUGAAUGGGUUGGAAAUGAUUUUAAGUGGUGACUCUCAUUUGAGAAGCUCGAAGUUGAAAAAAUUGACCAAGCUUGACCUUUUAGGUAUUUGACCUCGGAUCGGAGAUUUGAUGAUUCCGGUAGGUACCGAUGGUAAUUUUUGACUCGGGUGUAUACCCAUAUUUGCAGUUGGAUAUUUCUAGAAGGUUUCAGUAUCGUUUGGCGGAAGUUGGCAAUUUAAAGUUUUAGAAUUUUUCUAGGUUUGAUCAUGGUUCACCUUUAAGGCUACCGGGUUCGAAUUUUAGGUUCGGGACUUGGAAUAGGUCUAUUUUGUCAUAUGGAACUUGCCUGCAGAAUUUGGUGUCAUUUGGAAUUGAUUUGAUAUGGUUCGGACGUGUGGUUGCGAUUCUAGAAGUUCUUGAAGGUCAUGGGGAUUUUCAUGCGUUUUGGCGUCCGAUUCGUGAUUCUAGAGGUUAUUUUGAUGUUUUGAUCGUGCGAGCGAGCUCGUGUUAUAUUUUGUAGAAUUGUGUGAAUGUUUGGUUUAGAGCCUAGAGGGCUCGGAUAAGUUUCAUAAGCGUUUUAGAGUGUUUGGAAGAAGGUCUAGUGUAGCGAUCCGGCCGGUCGUUUUGAGAAUUUAAGUCUCGUCCGGCGGCAUAAGGACCUAAGCAGCUUCGUAUUAUGUGUAUUGACUUGCGUGCAUGGUUGAAUUCAGUUACCGGAUGAUUCAGAGUGAUUUGGGACACUUGGUCCCAAAAACGUAAGCUUAAGUCUUAAGAUUUUAACUGUAGUCAGAACUGUAUGAAGACGACCCCGUAGUGGAGUUUCGUUGGUUCCGUUAGCUCCGUUGGGUGAUUUUGGACGUAGGAGCGUGUCCGGACUAUGAAUUUGAGGUAUGUAGCUGAUUUAGGCUUGAAAUGGCGAAAGUCAAAUUUUUGGAGAUUUUGACCGAGAGUGGACUUUUUGAUAUCGGUGUCGGAAUGCGAUUCCGAGAGUUAGAACAGAUACGUUAUGUUAUUUGGGACUUGCCUGCAAAAUUUGAUGUCAUUCCGGGUUGGUUUGAUAGGUUUCGGCAUGAGAUUUAGUAGUUGAAGGUUUUAGAAGUUCAUAAGUACGAUUCGUGGUGCGAUUUGUAUUUUAGGCGUUGUUUGAUGUUAUUUGAGACCUCGAGCAAGUCCGUGUUAGGUUAUGGAACUUGUCAGUAUGUUUGGACGGGGUCCCGGGGGCCUCGGAUGUAUUUCAGAUGGGCUACGGGCCAUUUCCUUCUAUUUUUGAACUGCUGUUUUCUGUUAUCUGGUUUCCUUAAUCGCGUUCGCGUCCCUUCCUUCGCAUUCGCGAAGAGUAAUUUUGGUGGAGGAAUUUAUUGUUCUUGGCGAUCGCAAGAUCACGUUCGCGAUCGCGAAAGUUUGCUUUCCCCCUUCUUCGCGUUCUCAUCCACUCCAUCGCGGUCGCGUAGUAGAAACUAAUAGCUGGGAGCUGGUGACCAUUUCCUCUAAGCGUUCGCACUGUUCUAUCCGCGAACGCAUAAGUGUGAUUUCCCCUCCUUCGUGUCCGCGUGCCGUUUCACGCGUUCGUGUAGCCCAGUUCCUCGGCCAUCAAUUUUCUUAUCCGCGAUCGCAUAUGUUUAUUCGCGAUCGCGUAGCACUAACCGGCCAGUAAUUAUUUUCUUCUCCUCGUUCGCGAGCAUGUCUUCGCGUUCGCGAGCUUGUCUUCACGUUCGCGAAGCACAACUGUGCAGCUUUCAUUUUUCUUCUUCACGAAUGCAAGCCUUUCUCGCGAUGCUUUCAGACCUGGGCAGAAAAUAAGUUUUCCAAAUCUAGGGUUAGGCCAUUGUCAUCAUAUUUUGACUUGUAGAGCUCGGUUUUAAGCGAUUCUUUGUGGGGUUUUCAAGCAAAUCUAUUGGCUAAGUGUUCUUCACCUAGAAUUUAUUAUAUUCCUUGAUUUUAUCUUUAUUUUUAUCAUUUAAUUUGUUGUUAUUGUGAUGCACGAGGUUUCUGCCGUGCGAGUACUAUUGGGUUGCACGAGGUUUGUGCCGUGCUAUUAUUACUAUUGAUAUUUGCACAUACGACAUGNNNNNNNNNNNNNNNNNNNNNNNNNNNNNNNNNNNNNNNNNNNNNNNNNNNNNNNNNNNNNNNNNNNNNNNNNNNNNNNNNNNNNNNNNNNNNNNNNNNNNNNNNNNNNNNNNNNNNNNNNNNNNNNNNNNNNNNNNNNNNNNNNNNNNNNNNNNNNNNNNNNNNNNNNNNNNNNNNNNNNNNNNNNNNNNNNNNNNNNNNNNNNNNNNNNNNNNNNNNNNNNNNNNNNNNNNNNNNNNNNNNNNNNNNNNNNNNNNNNNNNNNNNNNNNNNNNNNNNNNNNNNNNNNNNNNNNNNNNNNNNNNNNNNNNNNNNNNNNNNNNNNNNNNNNNNNNNNNNNNNNNNNNNNNNNNNNNNNNNNNNNNNNNNNNNNNNNNNNNNNNNNNNNNNNNNNNNNNNNNNNNNNNNNNNNNNNNNNNNNNNNNNNNNNNNNNNNNNNNNNNNNNNNNNNNNNNNNNNNNNNNNNNNNNNNNNNNNNNNNNNNNNNNNNNNNNNNNNNNNNNNNNNNNNNNNNNNNNNNNNNNNNNNNNNNNNNNNNNNNNNNNNNNNNNNNNNNNNNNNNNNNNNNNNNNNNNNNNNNNNNNNNNNNNNNNNNNNNNNNNNNNNNNNNNNNNNNNNNNNNNNNNNNNNNNNNNNNNNNNNNNNNNNNNNNNNNNNNNNNNNNNNNNNNNNNNNNNNNNNNNNNNNNNNNNNNNNNNNNNNNNNNNNNNNNNNNNNNNNNNNNNNNNNNNNNNNNNNNNNNNNNNNNNNNNNNNNNNNNNNNNNNNNNNNNNNNNNNNNNNNNNNNNNNNNNNNNNNNNNNNNNNNNNNNNNNNNNNNNNNNNNNNNNNNNNNNNNNNNNNNNNNNNNNNNNNNNNNNNNNNNNNNNNNNNNNNNNNNNNNNNNNNNNNNNNNNNNNNNNNNNNNNNNNNNNNNNNNNNNNNNNNNNNNNNNNNNNNNNNNNNNNNNNNNNNNNNNNNNNNNNNNNNNNNNNNNNNNNNNNNNNNNNNNNNNGUUUAGUUUAUUAGACCAGUAGGUGUCUUGACUGUUCCUCGUCACUAUUCCACUGAGGUUAGUCUUGAUACUUACUGGGCACCGCCGUAGUGUGCUCAUUCUACACUUCUGCACAUUUUUUGUGCAGAUCCAGGUAUUUUCAAAGUCAGUUGAUCAUUAGCUAGUUGUGCGGAUUAUUGUUGUGGAGACUCAAGAUAAACCUGUUGCUGUAUUCGCAGGCUUCUGAGUCACCUUCUGAUUUGUAUUCACACUAUUUACUUUAUUUCAAAUAGUUGUAUUUAGAAAAUUGUAACAAACUCUGUAGAGCUUAUGACUUGUUCUACCGGUUUUAGGAUUGUAAAUUGUAUAGAGAUUUUUAUUUUGAAAUUGUUCGUUGUUAGUAAACAUUGCCGUUAUUUUAGUUAAUGUUAGGCUUACCUAGUUUUAGAGACUAGGUGCCAUCACGACUCCUUCAGAGGGAUUUUGGGUCGUGACAAAUUAGUAUUAGAGCUCUAGGUUCAUAGGUGCUACGAGUCAUAAGCGAGUUUUGUAGAGUUUUGCGAAUUGGUACAGAGACGUCUAUACUUAUCUUCGAGAGGCUACGGAACUAUUAGGACAGUUUCACUUCCUUCAUUCCUAUCGUGCGAGUUCAUUGGUCUUGAAGUUUGAACUUUUAUCGUUCCAUUCUCUCACAGAUGGUGAGGAUACGAGUUGCAGUUGCUGAUGACGUUACCCCCGGAGUAAAUGUCGCUAGGGGCAGAGGAAGAGGCCAAAGAGGAGCACGUGCCAUAGCUAGAGUACCUACCAGAGCAGCAGUUGAGGAGGUGCCAGUAGUUCCAGUUGGGGGGCAGGUACCGGAGGCACCUGCUAUUACCCCCGGACUUCUGGAGACCUUAGCACAGUUCCUGAGCAUGUUUGUUACAUUGACUCAGGCGGGGUUAAUUCCGACUGCACCAGCUACUUCACAGACCGGGGGAGGAGCUCAAACACCCGCCGCCCACACUCCAGAGCAACGAGUCCACGUUGGUUAGGUUCCAAGUGUCAUGGCAACACAGCUUGUGGUUCCAGUUCAUCCCUUUGUCAGGGCAACAACAUCCGAGGAAGAGCAGCUUAGACUUGCAAGGUUCAAGAAAUAUGACCCUCCUACUUUCAGUGGUUUGGCUUCAGAGGGUGCACAGGCUUUUCUGGAGGAGUGCCAUUACAUUCUCCGCACUCGGGGUAUUUUUGAGACGAGGGUGGUUGCUUUCACUACAUUCCAGCUUAAGGGAGCGGCUUAUCAGUAGUGGUGGGCAUAUGAGUUGGGCAGCCUGGCCGAUGCAAUUCCACUUACGUAGGUGCAGUUUUUAGAGAUGUUCUUGAGAGAGUUUAUACCUCAGUCCCUUCGAGAUGCAUGGCACGUAGAGUUUGAGUAGCUGCGCCAGGGCACUAUGUCAGUGUCAGAUUAUGCCAUUAGAUUCAGUGAUUUGGCCAGAUAUGCACCUGCUUUGGUCGCUACAGUUAGAGAGUGUUUCCGUAGAUUCAUUGAGGGACUCAGGCAUGAUAUUCGGUUCAGUUAGAGUCAGAUGUUUCGUUUCAGCAGGUGGUAGGGAUCGCUCGCCGUGUAGAGGGCAUGUGGGAUUAGGAAAGAGAGGACAGGGGGGCCAGGAGAGAGAGUACAGGCGAGAUAAAGAGAGAGAGGACAGGGAGGCGAGGAGGCUUCGUAGACUAGAGUGAUCUACUGAUCCUUAUUUUGGAGGUAGGGUACGACAUGGUAGAGGUUUUAUGGGUCAGCUAAUUCUGUUUGCACUUCAGGCUUCGCCCAGUGUUUCAGGUGCUUAUGGGUCUCAGAUUACCUGUACCGCACAGUUCGAACAACCACGUCAGCAGAGAGGUUGCUUCGAGUGUGGAGAUACUAGCCACAAAGUGAGAGAUUGUCCUAGACUCCGAACAUGUGUGUCACAACGGAGUAUUCAGGCGAGCAGAGGACACCCAAGAGGGGAGGGCCCGACCCGUUAAUGUGUUUCAUAUAGUAGGCUUGGGGCUGUUGCGCUAGAUGAUGCCAAACAGGUAUGCUUUUGAUUUGUUACAGAGGGGCACCAUUCGUAUUUUGUUUCAGUUCUGCCUAUCGGGGUGAGUCCCUUAUUUGUUGCUCCACCUAUGGGUGAGUUCAUGACUUAGUAUUCUAUAUAUGUGUUUGCCCUUAUUGGGAGACUCUAUGAGCGAUAACCCGUGUCUAUCGUUUGUCUCUAUUCAUUAUUGAGAGUUUCGAGACUAGAAGUGAAUUCUUGUUGUCCAUCAUGGUAGGUUUGAUGUGAUUCCUUAGUAAUUUGGCUACAAUUUGUAAUUUGAUACUCUACCGGGGUGAGAAUUUAGUAAGUGUUGUGAUUUUAUUGGAAGAAUUGAGUUAGUGGAAGAUUUCCAUUGGUAUGAUGUGUAUUCGACUUGUGAUUUAGAGUUGAGAGUGAGACCCUCGCGAUUUCAUGUGAUUUGAUAUGUUUGAGUUGGGCUGCGUGCCGCGGUGGAAGGUUAUACCAGGAUGAGAUUCUUCUGAUUUGUUCAUGUACUUUGAUUUUUCCUUUUGAAUUGAUUCGUAGUAUGGUACUGUUAGAGAGUUGUGCUUGUCGGGCUUGUUUGAUAUUUCCUUUAUAUGUUUCUCUUUACAUAUUCAGUCAUUUUCAUUCUGUGCUUCUUGAGUUUUAGCUUGCGGGUUGUGUGCCCGGUGGUGUUAGUUGUGACUUGUUGAUUUGGGUGUAUAGUUAAGAGGUCUUCAUGUUUCGUGCAUCGUUGUCAGUGUUGUGGAGGUUUGAAACAGGGUUAUGACGGAUAUGAGGUUAAUUGUCGGUGCUGGUCUUGCUUGCAGGCAACUAUUGUGAUCAGAAAUGUCAUUUUGGGCCUAUGUGUGGCGUGUCAUGUUGAGUGGUCGUACCUUGUGGGUUUAGGCAUGAGUUGUUACAGCUGGUUGAGACUGACACUGGUUAUGAAUUUAGAAUCGGUUCUUUUGAAGAUAAAUAGAAGGCAAGAAUUUUGACUCUAAGGCUUAUUAGUGUUGGUAGAAAGGGUGAAUUAUAGUUGAGAUGGUGUCGUCGAGCUUAUGUGGGUUGGGGUGAUGUGGGGUCACCCACGGGUGUAUGUUGGAUAUGUACUUUCAGUGAUUUCAAGACUUCGAGGCGAUUCUUAGCACGUUGGAGGACGAACGUUUGUUUAAAAAAGGGAAGAAUGUAACGACCCGGCCGGUCGUUUUGAGAAUUUAAGUCUCGUAUGGCGGCAUAAGGCCCUGAGCAGCUUUGUAUUAUGUGUAUUGACUUGUCUGCGUGGUUGAAUUCAGUUACCAGAUGAUUCAGAGUGAUUUGGGACACUUAGUCCCUAAAACGGAAGCUUAAGUCUUAAGAUUUUGACCGUAGUCCGAACUGUGCGAAGACGACUCCGUAAUAGAGUUUCGUCGGUUCUGUUAGCUCCGUUGGGUGAUUUUGGACUUAAGAGAGUGUCCAGACUGUGAAUUUGAGGUUUGUAGCUGAUUUAGGCUUGAAAUGGCGAAAGUUAAAUUUUUGAAGAUUUUAACCGAAAGUGGACUUUUUGACAUAGGGGUCGGAAUGCGAUUCCGAGAGUUGGAACAGCUCAGUUGUGUUAUUUGGGACUUUCCUGCAAAAUUUGACGUCAUUCCAGGUUGGUUUGAUAGGUUUUGACACGAGUUUUACAAGUUGGAAGUUUUUGAAGUUCAUAAGUUCGAUUCGUGGUACGAUUUGUAUUUUCGGCGUUGUUUGAUGUGAUUUGAGACCUCAAGCAAGUCCAUGUUAGGUUAUGGAACUUGUCAGUAUGUUUGGACGGGGUCCCAGGGGCCUCGGGUGUGUUUCGGAUGGGCUACAGGCCAUUUCCUUCUAUUUUUGAACUGCUAUUUUCUGUCAUCUGGUUUCCUUAAUCGCAUUCGUGUCCCUUCCUUCGCGUUCGUGAAGAGUAAUUUUGGAGGAGGAAUUUAUUAUUCUUGGCGAUCGCAAGAUCACGUUCGCGAUCGCGAAAGUCUGCUUUCCCCCUUCUUCGCAUUCGCGUCCGCUCCAUCACGUUCGCGUAGUAGAAACUAGGAGCUGGGAGCUAGUGACCAUUUCCUCUAUGCGUUCGCACUAUUCUAUCCGCAAACUCGUUAGUGUGCUUUCCCCUCCUUCGCGUCCGCAUGCCAUUUCACGCGUUCGCGUAGCCCAGUUCCUCGGCCAUCAAUUUUCUUAUUCGCUAUCGCAUAUGUUUGUUCGCGAUCGCGUAGCACUAAUUCGGCCAGUAAUUAUUUUCUUCUCCGCAUUCGCGAGCUUGUCUUCUCGUUCGCGAAGCACAAUUGGGUAGCUUUCAUUUUCCUUCUUCGCGAAUGCGAGCCUUUCUCCGCGUUCGCGAUGCUUUCAGACCUGAGCAGAAUAUAAGUUUUCCAAAUCGAGGGUUAGGCCAUUUUCAUCAUAUUUUGGCUUGUAGAUCUCGGUUUGGAACGAUUCUUUGUAGGUUUUUCAAGAAAAUUGAUUGGGUAAGUGUUCUUCACCUAGAAUUUAUUAUAUUCCAUGAUUUUAUCUUUAUUUUUAUCAUUUAAUUUGUGGUUUGAGUUGAGGAAAAUGGAGGUUUUUGAAGAACAUUUCAAAAAUGAAAAAAAUCAUGUUUCGAGGGACGAAUUGGUAUCAGAAUUCGAUAGUUUUAGAAUGGUUGAACUCGUAUCGGAAUGAGUGUUCGGGUUUUUGUGAAAUUUAUCGGGCUUCGAGGUGCGGGCCCGGGGGUCGACUUUUGGGUCGAUUUUUAGAUUUUGAUAAAGAAUGAAGCUUUAUGAUCCGGAAUAAUUUCUUAUGAGUUUUAUUUGUGCUUUAAAGUUAUUUUGAUUAGAUUUGAGUUGUCCGGAGGACAUUUCACCGAGAAGAUCAUUUUUGAGUAUUGGUGUGUCUUCUUUGAGGUAAGUAUCUUGCCUAACAUUGUGUAGGGGAACUACCCCUUAGGAUUUGAGUCUUCUAUGUUGAUUGUAGUCCGUGUGCGCGAGGGGACGAGUACGUGCUCGAACUUAUUUGUUGAAAUUAGACUUUUAGGGUUCCUUGGUCCUUGUAUUUCAUUGAUUAUGCAGUUGUACUUGUUAUGAUUACGUUCCUUAAUUACUAGUUUCACCUUUACCGGCUUAAUUAGAAUCAAUUGCUUCAUGAUCCACUCUUACUGUUUACUUGAUUCAUAUAUGUCUUAAUUGAAAUUUGUUAUCUCUUCCAUUGCCAUGUUAUCUUUUCCCUAACUGCGUAUCUUUAUUUGAAGUUGUAGUUGUCCCUUUUUGUAAAUGUUCACCCUUAAUUGAGGUUAUGGUGAUUUUCUCGCUACCCACUUUUAUUUGAAUUGGUUGUAUCUCUUCCGUGAUUGUCCAAACUUAAAAGAAGCUUCUAUAUGCUAUGCCUUAGUGGACUUGCCCUUAUUUGAAAUUAUUUGACUCGUGUUAGUUUCUUGUUGUUGAACCGUAUAUUGUGGGAUAAUUGUUACAUAGUAUUUAGUUUCUUGUUGAGAUGUUAUUAUUAUGACUAGCAUUCCCCGAUUGUGGCUACUCCUUGUGAAUUAGUUUCUCUGUUUCUUUAAGUUCUGGAAUCUCUGGUAUAGAGUAUGUUAGGACACUUGCACAAGCAUACACGUACUCUUAUCGGAUAAGAGGUGUUCUUGAUAUUGUUGAGCAUAUAUGCUCACCCUUGUUUACUUGCCUUCUGUGUGAGAAUGGCUCUAUUGGCACGUGAGUCGUCAGUGCGGUUAUGAGGUGUUAUGAGGGCAUGGGAUGCCAAGUAUUAGGGUUCAGGUAUUGAGACCCGUGAGUCAUGAUUUGUCUAAGGUCCAGUACCUCGUGGAGCUUGUUGACUAAGACCUGAUGUAAAAACAAUUGUAGUUGCUGAGUUAUUACUUGUCCUGGCUGUAUUUAUGAUUCCGGAUUUAGGUUGUGUUCCAUUCACUUUCUAUGUCAUUUAUAUGGUAUUCCGCUGAUACUUGUUAUUUCCUUUCUUAUUGCCAUUACUGUAUUGUGAGCCAUAUUGCAUAGUCUUUAUGUAGAUAUCAUAUUUUUGUUGUUCAUAUACUUAUACUUGUUCAGUUUAUUAGACCAGUAGUGUCUUGACUGUUCCUCGUCACUACUCUAGCGAGGUUAGUCUUUGAUACUUACUGGGCACCGCCGUAGUGUGCUCAUUCUACACUUCUGCACAUUUUUUGUGUAGAUCCAGUUAUUUUCAAAGUCAGUUGAUCAUUAGCUAGGUGUGCGGAUUAUUGUUGUGGAGACUCAAGGUAAACCUGCUGCUGUGUUCGCAGGCUUCUGAGUCAACUUCUGAUUUGUAUUCACACUGUUUACUUUAUUUCAAACAGUUGUAUUUAGAAAAUUCUAACAAACUCUGUAGAGCUUAUGUCUUGUACUACCAGUUUUGGGAUUGUAAAUUGUAUAGAGAUUUUUAUUUCAAAAUUGUUCGUUGUUAGUAAACAUUGUCGUUAUUUCAGUUAAUGUUAGGCUUACCUAGUUUUAGAGACUAGGUGCCAUCACGACUCCUUCAGAGGGAUUUUGGGUCGUGACAUCUAGAUUUGCUGGUGUUCUGAUCUCGCAUUUGCGAGUUGAGGGUCGCAUUUAGGAGUUGAGGGUCGCAUUUCUGACUACCGCUUUUGCCGACUUAUGAUCGCUUUUGCAAAGAGGCUGGGAACUGAAGCCAGCCACACAAAUACGAUGGUGUACUGGGCAGUAGUAGUUUGCUUUUGCGAACAUUUGUGCCGCUUUUGCGAAUGCCCUAUCUUCGAAUUUGCAACAUGAUUUAUUGUAUUUGUGAUAGAGGAAGAGUUGUUCAAGAUUCGCUUUUGCGAAUUAAUGUCCGCUUUUGUGGGGUUCGCAUUUGCAAACCCCAUGUCGGCAAUGCGACAUCUGCAGCAUGUGUAUAGAUGAGCACUUCAAGACUUAGCUUCAUUUUGAUAUAUUUUGAACCCUAGCCUCGAUGGGAGGCGAUUGUUUGGAGGUAUGUUCAUACCAAACUAUUUAGUAAGUGAAUUUUGCCGUGCGGAAGUGAUAUGGAAAAUGUGGGCAUAAGGUUCCAUGUGUGUAACGUUUGGAAGUUGUGAUUUAUGAUCUACGAUUAUGAAAAGUGGGAUUGUUGAAAUUCGUGUAUGAGGAAUGAUUUGAUCGGUUUAGUUGUCAUCAUUUUCCUUACUUGAACACAUUCAUGCUUCAUCUGUAACCCCAAAAUGUUGUUGCUUAAUUACUUGGUUAUUUCUCGUUGCCAUUCGUGUUCCCCUUAUAUUCACUGUUGAUUCUAAUUUGAAUUCUUUCUACUAUUGGCCUUAUAUUGAUAUUCUUUCCUUGUUAGCUUUAUAUCAUAUCCUGCACAAGUUUACAUGUCCGAUAGGUUUCUUGACUUGCCUCGUCACUACUCUACUGAGGUUAGACUUGAUACUUACUAGGUACCACUGUGGUGUACUCAUGCUACGCUUCUGCACAUUUUUGUGUAGAAUCAGGUACUACAGAUCGAGUUGGUUUGAGACUUAUGCUUGUGGGGCUGGAGACUUCAAGUUAUACCUAUUGGACGUUCGCAAGCUCUGAAGUCACCUUCUGUUGUAUUUAUUUCCAUUGUUUCCAAUUACUCCGAAACAAUGAUGUAUUCAUUAUAUAUAGUUAAUUUUAGAAAGGCUUAUGACUUGCACUAUCGGUUUUGGGAUUGUAAGCUUUGUAUAGAAAUUUUUUGUUCAUGUUUAAUAGUUUUUGGUUGAGUUUGCCAUUAAUUCAGUAUGUGUUAGGCUUACCUAGUUCCUAAGACUAGGUACCAUCACGACAUCCUACAGAGGAAAAGUGGGGUCGUGACAGGAAUGGCAUUUUCAAUAUCUUCAUAGGGGUAAAAAUUCUCUCUAUCACAUUAUCAUGCUUAUAGUUAUAGCAUGAUACAUAUGUGCACAAACUGCGCUUAGAAUGUAGUACUUCAUGACUAAUAAUUCUAUAUUCUUUAAGUGAUUUAAAUCCUUCAGGGAUUAUCAUAAGUUAAGUCAUAUAAGCCAUAUAAAUAGACUUUAGAUUUAUAUGAAGUUUUCAAAUCAUGCCACACAUAUAAGAUAGAUAAAGGUGUUUGCACACACCAUUGACUUUAUACUUUCAAGUGUCUGAACUGCAGGUCGAGAACUACAUGUCUUUUAUAUGAAAUCAAUUCUACUUGAAUUGUUUCUCCAUACUUAAGAUCCUCAUAUAUUUUAGCACUAUCAUAUAUGUUGUUGACGAAUAUUUUAUAUCGGUUCCAAUAUUUUUUUCAUAAAGACAUGACAUAGAGAUCUCUUCAUUCAUAUUUUCAGGUACCUGAACCUCCUUAGAUUUUAUAAAGUGUUAUGUCAUGUGAUCUUCUAGGUUACUCGCCUACUUAUUACGAUCAUUUGCUCAACUUCUGUCAUGACCCAAAUCUCACAUGCCGUGAUGGCACCUGUCGCAAUACUAGGCAAGCCGACAAUCACAGUAAAACCACGCAUCUUUAUUUUAGAAAGUAUAGUAAGAUAAGUUCAAGAGACAAAUCUCAUAAAUACAUAAGAAAAUAACGACUCAAUAUAAUACCCCCAAAAUUCGGGUGUCAUUGAGUACAUGAGCAUCUAUACAAUAACAUGGUUUGACUAUUGAAAUGUUGUUUAGGGAAGUAGAACAGUAUAAAUAAAACUAAAAGAUAAAGGAGGAGAGUCAAGGUCUCCGGACGUCAAGGCACCUACCUCAAUAGUCUCCGAAUUGAAUAAGCUCCAACACUAGCAACCUCUGUGCCUAGAAGUACCGGGAUCUGCACACGAAGUGCAGAGUGUAGUAUGAGUACAACCGACCAAUGUACUCAAUAAAUAACAAGACUAACCUUUGUGCUAAAAGUAUCGUGGAGCUCAACAAAUACAGUCCAAAUGCAGAGUUUAACAGUACAGAAAUGGCAGGAAAUAUGACAAUAAUAUCUCAGAAAAACUCCUAUUCUGUUGGUACACAGUACAUGUAUGUAUACAUGCUUCCAGGUUUAAUAGUUACGAUCAAUACAGAUAAAAUAUGCCAAGUGUGACUGAUAUGAGGAAUAUUGCAUCUAUAUAUCUACAUGCCAAUGUGCAUAUCGUAUGUGACGUAACACAAUGAAAAUAUCACGUACUCACUGUAACGACCAGGCCGGUCGUUUUGAGUAUUAUAACCCCGCUCCCCUAUUUAUAGCUAAAUUUAUGCUUUACAGUUAUUUUAUGACUUACCGUAUUAGUUGGUUCGGUUCCGGAAGGAUUUUGAAGUAAAAUAAGAUACUUAGCCUCAUAAUUGAAAACUUAAGUUGAAAAUGUUGACAUGAUGUCGAGUUAUGUGUAAACGACCUCGGAUUUGAAUUAUGGUGAUUCCAAUAGCUCCAUAUGGUGAUUUUGUACUUUAGAGCGCGUCCGGAAAGUUAUUUGGAGGUUUGUAGUGGAAUUAGGCUUGAAAUGCCGAAAGUUGAAUAUUUGGGAAGUUUGACCAGGGAGUUGACUUUUUUAUAUCGGGGUCAGAAUCCGACUCUGAAAAUUGUAAUAGAUCCGUUAUGUCAUUUAUGACUUGUAUACAAAAUUUGAGGUCAGUCGGACUUGAUUUGACAGGUUCCGGCAUCGUUUGUAGAAUUUGGAAAUUCCAAAGUUCAUUAGGCUUGAAUUGGGGUGUCAUUUGUGUUUUUAGCGUUGCUGGAUGUGAUUUGAAGGCUCGACUAAGUUCGUAUGGAGUUUUGGGACUUGAUGGUGUAUUUGGUUGAGGCUUUGGGGGCCUCGGGUGAGUUUUGGACCAUUUCUAGGCCAUUUAAAGCUGUUGGUUUUUUGCUACAACAGUGUGCUAUGCGAUCGCGUGGAAUUGGCCGCGAUAGUGAAGCACAAAAUGGGAAAAAAUGACCAGUGAAUGGCGAUCGCAGAAUGCCUUUCGCGAUCGCGUAGAGAAAAUUUUCUACUGCACUGACCCGACUUUGGAAGCUUAUAUCUCACAAUCUAUAAGGAAUUUGGAGAUGAUCCAAAAUUAAAAGUUGUAGAUCUUUGUGUCUAGGUUUCAUAAAUGUAAACUAUUUGUCAUUUUAAGUUGUGUACAAAGAGGUAUGACCGUUAUACUAGAGGCUGUCCGGAAGAAGUUGGACAAGGCUGUUGGGGAAUUUGUUCUUCGCGAUAGCUGGAGAAUGGCCGCGAUCGCAUAGACUAAAAAACGGCUGGAACAAUUUUGUUUAGCAGAAGAUUUAAGUUCUAUACUAGAGGGUAAAUGACUAGGCACAAGAUUUAAGUUCUGAAAAUGGGACUUCGUCCUAUUUUCCAUUUUUGACUGAUUUGAUCUCGGGAAGAGGCAAUUUUUGGAAGAUUUUCAAGUAAAACAACGGGGUAAAUGUUAUUAAAUUAUUAUUUGUCAAAUUACCGGAAUCCAUGGUUAUUUUUAACAUUUAAUGGGUGAAUUAAAUUAGAAAUUUUAGAAAACCCUCUUGGUUUAAUUUGAAGAUUUGAGGGUCGAGUUGAUGUCGAAAUGUGGUAAAAUUGAUAUGGGUAGACUCAUGGUUGAAUGCGCUUUCGGAUUUUGUAACUUUUGUCGGGUUCCGAGAUGUGGACCCCACGGGCAAUUUUUGAGUUAAAUUUUAGAUAUUGUUUGAAAAUUUGUAUUUUCAUAUGGAAUUAAUUUCAAUAAUUUUUAUUGACUGAAUCAGAUUAUUUGUGGCAAGAUUCGAGGUGUUUGGAGGCCAAUUCACGAGGCAAGGGCAUAGCAGAGUAAGAAAUUACACGGUUUGAGGUAAGUAACACUUCUAAACUUCGAUCUGAGGGUAUGAAUCCCCGAAUAUUGUGUUAUAUCAAUUGUUGGAGGUGACGCACAUACUAUGUGACGAGCGUGUAGGCGUGCACUAUAGAAAUUGUGACUUAAAUAAAUGCAGUGGAGUUGUAAAAUUUAUGAAUCCUGUUAUUAUCUGAACAUGUUCCACUUGUUAGAGAAAUUGAGCUGAGGCUUUUAUUAAAUAAAAUGUUUAGGCUACGUGCCAAUAUUUUGGGACCCGUGGGGUCGUGUUGCUGUCGAAUUAAUUAUUUUAAAAUAUACUUUUCCUACUCAGUCAUGCUCAUCCAUUGUGAGGAUAUUUAUGGGAUCGGGACUGCCCGCCUCCAACAUGCCAUAUCAGCUUUAUAUAUAUUAUUAUUAUUAUUAUGGGAUCGGGUUGCACCUUGCAGCAGGCCUUAUAGGCUUUAUUGUUCUGGAUCUGGGCUGCCGGCCUGUAGCAGGCCUUAUAGGCUUUAUUACUAUAUGAAUCGGGCUGCCUGCCUGCAGCAGGCCUUAUAGGCUUUAUUAUUAUUAUGGGAUCGGAGUGCAUGCCGCAGUAGGCCAUAUCGACUUUAUAUAGCGCUUGGGCUGAAAGAGCCCCUCCGGAGUCUGUACACACCCCUAAGUGAGUGUAGAUGAUUAUAUAUAUAUUCGGGAUGGACUUCCCAGGGCAUGGAAUUGCCUUACUUACGAUGAUUAUAUAUAUUCGGGAUGGACUUCCCAGGGCAUGGACUUGCCUUACUUAUUUAUAUAUUGUGAUGAAUUUUCCCUGGACAUGGAUCUUGUCCGUAUCAUUUACAUUUGGGAUAAAUUACCCCAGGGCUGGAUUGGCCUUAUACGAUAUUGAGUGACUGACUGUCAGUCGAUGUGUAUAUAUAUAUGGGACAGAAUAUCCCUGGGCUGGAUUUGUCAUAAAUAGUACUAAUUGACCGAAUAAUUUAUGACCAAUAUUUACAUGAGGCCUUUUUAAUGAGAUGUCAUAUUCCUCAUAUCAUGCAGUAUUGAUCCAUUUUACUUGUACUGAGUUUAACUGUUGAACUUGAAAGCAUGCCUACAUUUUGUACCAUUAUUUACACUAGACUGUACCUGCGGAGCUCGUCACUACUUUCAGCUUAGAGGUUAGUCUUGUUACUUAUUGAGUUGGUUGUACUCAUACUACACUCUGCACCUCGUGUGCAGAUCCAGGUGCUUCCGGAUACGACGGCUGCUAGAUUUUGGAGUUACUUCUGCUGGAGACUAUCAAGGUAGCUGCUUGACGUCCACAGACUUAAUUCCCUUCCUGUUUAGUUAUUGUACUGUUCUAUAUUUCAGACAACAAUUUUUAUCAGUCAUACUUUGUGUUCAUUUAGAUGCUCAUGUACUCAGUGACAUCGGAUUUUUGGGAAUAUUUAUAUUUGUAUUUGUGAGAUUUCUUCUGCUGAANNNNNNNNNNNNNNNNNNNNNNNNNNNNNNNNNNNNNNNNNNNNNNNNNNNNNNNNNNNNNNNNNNNNNNNNNNNNNNNNNNNNNNNNNNNNNNNNNNNNNNNNNNNNNNNNNNNNNNNNNNNNNNNNNNNNNNNNNNNNNNNNNNNNNNNNNNNNNNNNNNNNNNNNNNNNNNNNNNAGAUAUGCGCCAUCACGAGUCAUGAGCAAGUUUAGUAGAGUCUUGCGGAUUGGUAUAAAGACGUCUGUACUUAUCAUUGAGAGGCUGCCAAACCCUUAGGAAAAUUUCACUCCCUUGUAUUCUAUCGUGUGGAAUUGAUUCACUUUGAAACAUAACACUUUGAAUUCUUUCCGCGCAUUCGUGUUCGCAUGUGAGCGCUUGGUAUCAAGUGUGCAUCGCCGGCUUGUGAUUCUAGCGAUGAGGUUCGAGAUGCGUAUUAUGUGUUUUGGUGAUGGGCCAGUCUGAAGGACUAGAGGCCAGAUAUAGACCGCAGCUUAGGCUAUGUAGCUUCAGCUGUAACUUGUACAUUUGAACUCAUACGUUCGUUAAUGUUCCUAUGAGUGGAAUUUGUGGCUUGAUGAGCGAUGGAAUGGCUCUAUAAUGAGUAUGAUGUAACUGCAGAAUGUUUUAAGAUGAUUUAAAUAUGACGAGAAGUGUUUCCUUGAAAUGUAAAGGAGGGACCAUUGGGUUCUUGGUUUUCGUUUUGAUGUGACGUACAAUCUCAAGUAUGAACGUUUUGAAGGAUCUUUCACGUUGUUAAAUUUUAGGACAAAUUUAAUUCUCAUGUCUAGUUAAUGAGUUGGACUCAGAUAGACUAAGUGAUUGCAUAGUAAUUGUGACUUUGAAAGGGUAUAACAAGAUACCAAUUUGAGGCUAAGCAGGUGGUUUAUCACCUUCAGAGUAAUCUACGUAGGUGUGUUCCUUAUAAUGCGAGUGCAGAGUUUCUUUUCUACCAGCAGGGCAUGUGUGUUGAUAUUUGAAGUUGAAUCUGGUUGAGAAAGUUGAAUUGAGUGUUAAAAGAAUGAAGGCGAGCUUAGUAGAUGAUUUGAGGUAUUUUAUGGUUGGUGUUACCUGAGCUUGUGAAAACUUUUCGUGGAACUGAUUGCGGGAUUAUGACAAUAGUAGAGUAUGGGUAUGGUGAGUUAUCAGAUGUUUUGUUAUAUGACUUUGAGCUAAGUGGGGGAGUCUUCUAUCUACGAUUUGAUUGCACGAUUAUGUGCGGUAUUGGUUUUGGUCUGAGGCAUACUUGUUGAUUAGUUAUGACUUGCAAAGGUUGAUAUUAGGGAUGACUCGAGUAAAAAAAUUUCUUAAAUGUGGGUUAUAUUGAACUUUAUGAAAAUAUGAAAAAUCAUGAAAUGAUUAAAUUGUUAUUUUGAAGGAUAUAGUGCGCACGAAGUUUGAAUUUGAUUGGUGCUGUUAUGCCAGGGUUACUUCUUUGGGGGCUGUUGUGCUAAUGGGGCUUGCGUCUUUCGGCCCGUUUAGGCGGUGCAAUUUAGAUUUGAGCAUAGUGGGGGACUUUUGAAAGGGUUCUAAUAGAUUCAAAAUGUAUAUGUGUCGAUUCAAAUUUUUUCUAAAUUUUUAUAUCGCGAGAAUCGAUUAUUUACACUGGAUGGUGUCGGGACUUUCGGUAAUUCUGUAUGACUAUGGAUUCUACAUUUCAGUACAAGAAAGGUAAAAAGGAACAAUUUUAAGUCCACAUAAGGUCUUUUCAGUGUGGGGGUCUCGAUUGUGGUACUUUUGUGGUUCUUAAGAAGAAUACAGUGGCUUAUGGGCUUUAGGGCGGUAUGAUUUUAUGUUAGGAUAUCUUGUAGUGAGCUUUGGGUAAAGAUCGUAGUGUUCUGACAAGGAGAAGUGUAAACCUGAGGGUAAUUUUGAAGAAACUCGAAGUAAAUAGGACAACUGGGUAGUAGGUUAGACCAGUAUGGUAAUGGUAUGCUCGGUCCUUUUGGGUAAUUAUGAUGUGGUUAGACUUUACAGAUGUUUUGGUGGCAAUAUUCUUGGGUUUGGUGACCUGCGUGGCUUGUUCAAGUAAGAGGAAUUCAGUUAUGAUAGCUUGGUUAGGUGCAAAUGGAUUUCGAAGAGUUCUUGCUGGUUUUUACCAUGAGUUGAGCCGUAUAUUCUCUAUCGGUGUGGGGAGCGUGUUUUAUAUUGUGAUUUUAUCCUGGAAAGAAGCAAGAGAGAGAUUUCUAACUAACCGUAUAUGUAAUUUGCUGGUGACCCAGAGUUGAUAAUGAGAUUCUUGUGCUUUUCACAUGAUGGCAAGAUAGAUGUUAUGUGUUGUGCGGAAGUUAAAUUUACAUGUAAAAGGUAGCAGUUCAGUCUUGAAGGAAGGUCAUGAUGUUUGAGCAGAAUGGUCAUGAAUUCUUAGACAACAUGGGCAGUUCCAAAUGAGUAGAUGAAUACUAUUACUACUUGGUGUUGUUAAGAAAGGUGCGUAUUUCAGAAGGCGCAUUGUAUUUUGACUUACGAAUGUUUAAUUAGUAUUACGGUACUCACAUGGUUGAUAGACUGCCGAUAUUCAAAUUAUUUCUAUAUGGCAUGGAAGAAUUUUGAAAGAUUUCCUCGUGGGAUGAUCGUGCAUGAAGGAUGUGUUAGUGAUUCGAGUUCUGGAGACUGGGAGUCCUCCGAAGCAUAUUGUUUCAGAGUUGCGACCUAUUUGAGGUAAGUGUUUUAUUUAAACUCAGUGAAGGCACCAAUUGCAUUAAUUAAUUGUGAUAGUUAUGCGCUAUGAGUGUGCAUAUAUGUGAGGCUUGAGCCCAUGUGCGGGCAUCGGGGCGAUUAUUCAUACUCAGAAGAAUGCUUAGGCAAAAGAUAUGCCUAGAGUUGAUUGUUAAGAGUAAAGUUAUAACAUUUCUCGUAUUGUGACAUUUGUCGAGAACUAUCUGGGUUACACUUGAGGUUACAAAGAUGCUAAUUCCCUGAAUAAAUUGUGUAGUUACUAUUUCUGCGUGAACUUACCGAUUUGAGUUGUGAUAGCACACUUUGCACAUGCCCACCCUAUGGCGUGUUAUUUAUACCAGUCCAGGAGCAUGUGAAUCUUAUUUCAUUUAUCAUAUACAUGUGACUUAUUUGAUUGCUCAUCUAUGAUAUGCUUGGACUGGAGGCCUAUGACCAUGCCAGGCGGAUUAUGUUAUUGGCUCGUGCGAUGUCCGUGCGGAUCCAUAUAAUGAUAUUAUUGGCACGUGAGUUAUCCGUGCUGGUCCAGAUAUUGAUACUAUAGCAUGUGAGUUGUUCGUGCGAGUGGUGUUAGUGUGAGCUCUAGAAGAGCUGGUUACUGUUAUUAAACUCGUGUGUCUUGAUUUUACUAUGUAUAAUGAGCUUAUAGCAUUGCGGUUAUGGUGGUGCUUGUUGAACUUGCAAUACGGUUCUCUACUUUGAGACAUCCUCCAUUUUGGGUACACGGAUUGCGCAGUUUGUGGCUUGAGUUAUAUUGGUGUGGCAUGUCUAUGGAAUAAUCGUGUUUGAUAAUAUAAGGUUAUCGAACCUAGAAUGUGUACUAUCGAGUUUGAUAAUGCUAUAUUUGGGAGGGUGAUAUUGAAAGUCGACUUAGAAAGUGAUUAUGGUUCUGGUUGGGGCGAGAGAGCUGCAUGACUAGUUGAUAUGAUAAGCGGUUAUGAGAUUCUGCAUGUUUCUUUCAUUAUCAACAGUGUACGAAAGUUUUGGGAAUGAGAUUUUGUUUGAUAUGAGGUUUAAUACUAGUACCAGGUUGGUUUUGAGUAGUUACUGUGAUCGGAAAUGGUGCUGCGAGUAUGCGAGUUGUGUAGUGUCGUGCCCCGUUUUCUCGUGAAAGCGGGCCUCGACAUUGUGGCAACUCUUUUGGAUGGGAGAUAGAGUGCUAAAAGAAGAAUAGUCACCACCUAAAGGUUUUUGAGGUACAUUAGGGCACCUAUUAUGUAGAUAACUCUGUUUGACUAGUCAACACCACCAAAGAACGGGUAAGGGCUCAAGUUACCUCAAAGAGAAAGUGUUAAGCACUCUUCGAGGUCUACAACUGUGGGUCCCGGCCGAACUUAAAAUUAUGUGGAUUAUAGUUAGGCAAGAUAAACAAAGAGAGUAAUGGGCAAAGAAAUUUAUUAUAAUACAAUGAGAUAUAAGGAUUACAAGGAUAUAACUAUGACGGUCUAUAUUAGACGGCAAAAUGUAUAAAGAAAGGGGGGAGGGGGUCCUAAGUUUUUUAGCCUAAAGGAUCACCCCGUGCAACAUAAAUAAUACUUCGCAACUCCCUUGAGGUAAGGAGUUACUCAUAUUAUUCAGCGGGCACAUAUUAUCUCCUGCUACCCGAUUAUUAUAUUAAAAUUGUUUACCUAAGCACUCUGAUUCAAUUCUAAGUCGUGCCCUAUGCGUGCAUUGCCCGUCCCGUACUUAUGGUCCAGGAGGCAUUGGACCUCUAUUUAGGGUGGUUCUAGAAUUUACUUAGGCUGCUUAAAAUGAUAAAAUAUGCGACAUACAAAACAAGUUGGACUUCAUGUAAGGAUAGUUAGGGGCUCAAGUUGGCCUCCACACUUAAACAACAAAUGCACGCAAAGCAGGUUCUCAUAUUAGGCGUUGGACAGUUUCAGAAUUGAAGCCAAUUAGAAAUCAUUAAUCCCUAUAGAAAUGGUUUCUAUAUGACUUUGGAUUCAAACGCGCAUAUAUGACAUUACUGCUUCUAGUGGCUUAGACGAGGAAGCAGUUAAGAAUUUGCUGUUAAUGCUGGUUUUAGAUACCAGUUUUAGAAAGGUGACAUUGUCCUACAGACAUGAUAUCUAAUAGUGGAAUAGUUAAGCAAAUGAAAAUAGUGCUGGGAACCCAGCCUUGACAAGGGGAUAAACAAUAUUAAGCGGAUGACAGUAUCCUAUAGGCAAGAUCUCUAACAAUUGACAAUCGAACCUUGAUUUUAUAAUACUUUACCUCUAUGAGCAGGUUAUCUAGGCAGAGCAAUAACAAUAGCUAAUUGAUUAGUCAAGGUCCUAUAGGCAUGAUUUCUAGGUGAAAAUAGAACAUAAGCUAGUGAGAUCCUAUAGGCAGGGUAUCUAAUGAAUAUGCUAUAAUCAUACAAAUCGAAAGAAAGUUCACUGGCAUUUAUUUCCUGUAUGUUGUCUAGUAGCACAUAGCAGUAGAAUAAAUAGAGGGUUUACACCCGUGCUUUGAUGGUAGACAAGUUAUGUAAGUGUGUGAGUUUCCUAGAGGCAUGAUUUGUACUAGUGGAAGUUAAAUGACAUAUACAGCAAGUUGGAUAACAAGUAAAUCACAUGAAUCCUAUGGGCAUGUUUUCUACCCUUGCAUGCAAAUAUCAGAGUAUACCCAUUCCCCAAUUUCACUAUCACCCCAAUUGUUCAUUACUGAGUUAUUACAGACCCAGUGAUAAAAGUAAUUAUAAAAUAUUAUACAAGCAAUGAUAGUAGGCCACAGUGGGCUCAAAAGAAAAGACCCAACAUUGUCUGGGCCUUCAACAACUCUCACAUAGCAUACCCAGAUUCCCAACAGGGAACUAUCAUCAGCACAACCCAGAAGCCAUAGGAGAACUCAAGCCAAACCAAACAACCAUAGAUUGACCAAUAUUACCCAGACAUUGAAUCACUUAAACCAACCAGUUUACAUAUUCAGUAGACAGUAGGAAGAAAGAGUUGACUGUCAGAUAUAGCUCAGGUCUCAGUAGUAAAGAGAGUGGCUAAAAGACCCCAAAUCCUAGUGUGUCAGAGUUCACAAGGGUCUCAAAUGGACCCCGAGUAGUGCUCACACUAGGGAGGUCAGUAGUAAGAGUCUUGGUGGCCUUGGCUUUCAGCCAGCUAAGAAUGAUAAGUUCAGAAUAGCACAGGUAACAAAUGAGAGGGAGUGGACAGAAGUUGAGGAAAUACACUUAUAGUUUAGAAAGAAGACAUAGCAAAGUUGAGAACACAGAACAGUUAAUCAAAAAGGUCAAGAAAAUUUAGAAGCAAGUGCAACACUUAGCAAAAAUAACACAUUGGCAGAAAGCACAUUGGGAUUUGGAGGAGAAUCAAGUCUCUUGAGAUCACAAGGUUAACAUACAAAGGUGCAUAAUAUCAAAUAGGUCUAGGUAAGGCAAUAACUUAAAGGGUUAAAGCCUAAGGGUCCAAAUCAUGCUGAAUAUCCUCCACAACACCAGAAAGCAGACAUACCAAUUUAUCACUAAGAUAAACAGUCUCAAAUAUUGUAAGGAAACAUAGAUUAAGAUAGCUACUCUAGAGUCUCAAAUAAUCACUAAAGGGGUAUGGAAUUAAGUAAGCCAAAGACAUACUGAGUAACACAAUAACAGGGGAGCAAGUCAUAAAUUUAUAACACAUUACAGAUGUGAGGCAGUCAUUGCAGGAAUUCAAAGUAGAGUAGGAAAGCAAACUCAUGUCAACAGUAGUGUAGACAUUCAAGUACCAAUACAUUAGGCUAAAUGAACUUAAGAGAGUCUAAAUUAUUCAGGUGAAGCAUAUUCAAAUAACAUAUCUCAAAAACAGGAGAUCUUAAGUAAAAGGACAAAUGCUACAAAAGUUCAUAUCAGAAUACGAGUGCAAGGCUUGUAAAGUUACACAUAGAUAUGGUCUAAGAGAACAUUUAGGUCAUGAAAUUCAGAGGCGUGAAUAUGCAGGACAUGAACACAGAAGAAUGAAACCGUAAAGCCAAGAGACUUACCAGCUAUCUAUUGAAUAAAUAAACAACAAGAAAGAACAAAUUCCAAAGUGCUCUGAAUGUCAACAGAGAGCAAGAACCCAUAUUCUUAGUGCGUCAAAGUUCCCAAAGGCUUCAAAUGAACCCCGGACAGUCCUCGCACCAAGAAAGGUUGAAAAUCGAAUCCCUAUGGCCUUGGCUUUCAGCCGACCAAGAGUCAGAGUAUAGAACAAGAGAAUAAGAGAACAAUAGAGUAAUAGCUUUGAUUUUUAGUGAAUCUGGGUGAUUCCCUCGUUCCUUUCAAAGGGGAAAGGGGAUGGGUUUAUAUCGUAGUAGGAAUCUAGCGAACAAACAAGGAAAACAAUCAAUCAAACAUAAAUAUGGAAAGAAAGUACCACAUGCUAUCAGUAAUGGAACGGGUAAAAGGAAAAGAAUAAAAUUACGAACCUUAAUUCGACAGAAAUCAAGGAAUCAACCAAAGGUUUUGGUGAAUCAGCUUCAUAUCGCCUUGCCAUGAAUGUAUAUAGACGAAAUACCGUCUAGAUCUUGAAGAUUGAAGACGGUUUUUACAUGAUUCAGGCCUGGUACUUGCCAAAAAUAGGCAAGUACUAAGUGAUACCGAAAAUCAUGUAAGUAACACGGAGAUGGAGCAUAUAUGGAAGGCAAAUUGUGGAGAGAUUCCAUAUUAGAACUGGAGUUAGGAGAUUUAGAAGAGGCAACUGCUAUGGUUUGAGAGGAGAAGAGAGAAUAGAUGGGGCGGCGGUCUUUAGGGAAAUGGGGAUUAGGGUUAGAGGGUUGGUAAUUAAAAGGGGUUAGUUUAUUAGGGGUCGUUGAUCAUUUAAGAUCAACGGCCGAGAUGGGAUAGUGAAUGGACGGGUCAAGUGAAUGGGUCUCUGGUCGGGUUAAAUUAGAGGGUUAUUUGAUUGGGCUGCUGAGGUGAAUGGGCUACGUGUUUGAGCCACAAUUGGUCUGAAUAUUAGCCUAAAAAUUAUUCCAGUUUUUAAAUAAGAGAUUAAAAGGGAAAUAAUAAAACAAACAAAUAUAUAAAAUGCUAUUUAUGAAAAUUAAUAUUUUAAAACAAUAGUAAAAAAUUAUAAAAAAUGUAAGUUAUUAUUUUGACCUUAAAUAAAAUGACAAAUGCAAUAAAAAUGCAAAUAUAGGCUAUUAUUGCAAAAUUUUGCAAAUAGCUAAAAAAUACUAUUGUAAUUAUAUAAAAUGAAAUAAAAGUAUUUGAAACAUGUAUUAUAGGUGCAAAUAAUAAUUGUAGAUAAUUAAGUCAUCACAAAAUAAUUUAAAGGAGUAAUUAAUAAAUAUUCUAGUAAUUUAAAUGCAAGAAAAUCGAUUCUAAAGUUCUAAAAAUUAUGGCAAAUUAUAGAAAAUUCUUGUAUAGAUUUUUGUAAACUAAAUAAUGAUGCCAAAUGAUGUUUUGAAAGGUAUAUAUAUACUAUUUGAGAAAAUAUGAGGGCAAAAUUGGAUAUCAACAUGUAGUAUGUUAUGUGAAUAUAUGUGGGGUUAUGGUCAUGGCUUGAUACCCUGUAUUCUGGAUGUAAGAAAUUCUGGAUGUUGGAAAUUGGGUUCUAAGUUUUACGAACUAAGGUUAAAGUAAGGAUCUUCAAUUAUGUUGUGUUGCCAGGCCUAUAUGGAAUAGGGUGGCGUGGUAUCACCCCCAGGUAUGUGUGUGGUAAGAUGGAAUAGUGAGUUGAUGGCAUGAAAAUAACUGUUAGCACGUUCGAGGACGAACAUAUGUUGAAGUGGGGGAGAAUGUAAUGACCCGACCAGUCAUUUUGAGUAUUAUAACCCCUUUCCCCAAUUUACUUCUCAAUUUAUACUUUAUAGUUAUUUUAUGACUUAAGUUCUGGUCCGGAAGGACUUCGGAGUGAAAUGAGAUACUUAGCCUCAUAAUUGAAAACUUAAGCUGGAAAAGAUGACCAGAUGUCGACUUAUGUAUAAACGACCUCGGAUUUGAAUUUUGGUGAUUCCAAUAGUUCCGUAUGGUAAUUUUGGACUUAGGAGAGUGUCCGAAAAGUUAUAUGGAGGUCCGUAGUGGAAUUAAGCUUGAAAUGCCGAAAGUUGAAUUUUUGAGAAGUUUGAUCGGGGGUUGACUUUUUGAUAUCGGUGUCGGAAUACGACUCUAAAAAUUGUAAUAGGUUUGCUAUGUCAUUUAUGACUUGUGUGCAAAAUUUGAGGUCAAUCGGACUUGAUUUGACAGGUUCCGACAUCGUUUGCAGAAUUUAGAAAUUUCAAAGUUCAUUAGGCUUGACUUGGGAUGUGAUUCGUGUUUUUAGCGAAGUUGGACAUGAUUUGAAGGCUCAACUAAGUUCGUAUGAUGUUUUGGGACUUGAUGGUGUAUUUGAUUGAGGUCCCGGGGUCGGGUGAGUUUCGGGGUGGUUUCGGACCAUUUCUAGGUCACUUAAAACUGCUAGUUUUUGGCUACAGCAGUGUGCUAUGCGAUCGAGUGGAAUUGGCCGUGAUAGCGAAGCACAAAAUGGGAAAAAUGGCCAGUGAAUUGCGAUCGCGGAAGGCCUUUCGUGAUCGCAUAGAGGAAAUAUUCUGCUGCACUAACCUGACUUUGGAAGCUUAUAUCUCGCAAUCUAUAAAGAAUUUGGAGAUGAUCCAAAAAUGAAAGUUGUAUCCCUUUGUGUCUAGUUUUAAGAAAUAUGAACUAUUUGUUAUUUGUCGUUGUGUAAAAUGAGUUAUGACCAUUAUACUAGAGGCUAUCCGGAAGAAGUUGGACAAGGCUAUUGGGUAAUUUGUUUUUCGCGAUCGCGGGAGAAUGGCUGCGAUCACAUAGAUUAAAAAAGGGCUAAAAGAAUUUUGUGCUUCGCGAUCGUGGGUGUUUUUCCGCGAUCGCAUAGGGUAAAUGACAGGGCAAAAAACUCCAUUUUUUCGCGAUCGCAUAAUUUUUAUUGACUGAAUCAAAUUAUUUGUGGCAAGAUUCGAGGCAUUUGGAGGCCAAUUCACGAGGCAAGGGCAUAGCGGAGUUAGAAAUUACACGGUUUGAGGUAAGUAACAUUUCUAAACUUAGUUAUGAGGGUAUGAAUCCUCGAAUAUUAUGUUAUAUCAAUUGUUGGAGGUAACACACAUUCUAGGUGACGUGCGUGUGGGCAUGCAUUAUAGAAAUUAUGACUUAAAUAAAUGCCGUGGAGUUAUAAAAUUUAUGAAUCCUCUUAUUAUCUAAACAUGUUUCACGUGUUAGAGAAAUUGAGUUGAGGCUCUUAUUAAAGACCAUGUUUAGGCUACGUGCCAAUAUUCUGGGACCCAUAUGGUCGUGUUCCUGUCGAAUUAAUUAUUUUAAAAUAUACAUUUCCCACUCAGUCAUGCUCAUCCAUUGAGAGGAUAUUUAUGGGAUCGGGGUUGCCUGUCUGCAGUAGGUCAUAUCNNNNNNNNNNNNNNNNNNNNNNNNNNNNNNNNNNNNNNNNNNNNNNNNNNNNNNNNNNNNNNNNNNNNNNNNNNNNNNNNNNNNNNNNNNNNNNNNNNNNNNNNNNNNNNNNNNNNNNNNNNNNNNNNNNNNNNNNNNNNNNNNNNNNNNNNNNNNNNNNNNNNNNNNNNNNNNNNNNNNNNNNNNNNNNNNNNNNNNNNNNNNNNNNNNNNNNNNNNNNNNNNNNNNNNNNNNNNNNNNNNNNNNNNNNNNNNNNNNNNNNNNNNNNNNNNNNNNNNNNNNNNNNNNNNNNNNNNNNNNNNNNNNNNNNNNNNNNNNNNNNNNNNNNNNNNNNNNNNNNNNNNNNNNNNNNNNNNNNNNNNNNNNNNNNNNNNNNNNNNNNNNNNNNNNNNNNNNNNNNNNNNNNNNNNNNNNNNNNNNNNNNNNNNNNNNNNNNNNNNNNNNNNNNNNNNNNNNNNNNNNNNNNNNNNNNNNNNNNNNNNNNNNNNNNNNNNNNNNNNNNNNNNNNNNNNNNNNNNNNNNNNNNNNNNNNNNNNNNNNNNNNNNNNNNNNNNNNNNNNNNNNNNNNNNNNNNNNNNNNNNNNNNNNNNNNNNNNNNNNNNNNNNNNNNNNNNNNNNNNNNNNNNNNNNNNNNNNNNNNNNNNNNNNNNNNNNNNNNNNNNNNNNNNNNNNNNNNNNNNNNNNNNNNNNNNNNNNNNNNNNNNNNNNNNNNNNNNNNNNNNNNNNNNNNNNNNNNNNNNNNNNNNNNNNNNNNNNNNNNNNNNNNNNNNNNNNNNNNNNNNNNNNNNNNNNNNNNNNNNNNNNNNNNNNNNNNNNNNNNNNNNNNNNNNNNNNNNNNNNNNNNNNNNNNNNNNNNNNNNNNNNNNNNNNNNNNNNNUAUAUAUAUAUAUAUAUAUAUAUAUAUAUAUAUAUAUAUAUAAGACGAAAUAUCCCUGGGCUGGAUUGUCAAUAAACAUUACUGAGUGACCGAAUAAUUUAUGACCAGUAUUUACAUGAGUCCUUUCUACUGAGAUGUCAUAUUCCUCAUAUCAUGUAGUAUUGAUCCAUUUCAAUUGUACUAAGUUUAAUUGUUGAACUUGAAAGCAUGCCCACAUUUUGUACCAUUAUUUAUACUGGACUGUACCUGCGGAUGCAACUCCAUCAGCCCAGAGGUUAGUCUUGUUACUUAUUGAGUUGGUUGUACUCAUACUACACUCUGCACCUCGUGUACAGAUCCAGGUACUUCCGGAUACGACGACUUCUAGAUUUCGGAGUUACUUAUGUUGGAGACUAUCAAGGUAGCUUCUUGACGUCUGCAGACUUGAUUCCCUUCCUGUUUAGUUAUUGUAUUGUUAUAUAUUUCAGACAACAAUUUUUAUCAGUCAGACUUUGUGUUCAUUUAAAUGCUCAUGUACUUAGUGACACUGGGUUUUGGGGAAUAUUUAUAUUUGUAUUUGUCAGAUUUCUUCCGCUGAAUUUAAUUAUUAUAUUUUCAAACUUAAAAUAUACUGUGGUUUAUUGAGAUUAUCGGCUUGCCUAGUAUUGAGAUAGGUGCCAUCACGACAGGUGAAAUUUUGGGUCGUGACACUCUCAUUCUCAGAGUACUCAAUCUGACUAUUUCAAUUGUUUCUCAUCACACUCAGUCACUUAGCAAUGGAUGGUACCUGCGCUCACUGCUGGUAUGUCAUACUCCAAAGGGGCGGAUCCUACCCAAGCUCUAAUAAAACCUGCUGCGGCGCGUAGCCUGAUCCCAUCGUGAGUCAAUAAUACUUGUUGUGGCGUGGAACCCGAUCCCAUCAUGAGUCAAUAAUACCUAUUGCGGCGUGCAACCCGAACCCAUCAUGAGUCAAUAGUACCCAAUGCGAUAUGCAACGCGAUCCCAUCAAUAUCACUCACAAACAGGCCAUCGGCCUCACUCAGUCAUAAAGCUCUCUAGUCUAUCGGGCUCACAAUAUUCGUAUCAAUCAUCCCAAAACAAUGAUACAUGAUGUGAAAAUAAAUGAUACUAAGACUGAGAUAUGAUAUGAAAUGAUGAAUGCGACUGAGUACAUAACUGCAAAUUAAGCAACUAACUCAACAACAAAAGAACAACCGUUGUGGAUCCCAAUAGUACCAGCGCAUAGCCUAAACAUAAUUUCUAACAUAAAUCACUGCUCAAAUUCUCUAACACAUAGAGUGCAAUAAUAAUAUUUAUAAAAGAUGACUACAUAGUUCCACAAAAUCUCCUGAGUCUCAAUUUCUACAUUGUACGCCCACACGCCCGUCACCUAGCAUGUACGUCACCUUAACACCGAUCACAUAACACAUAAUUCAUGGAUUCAUAUAUUGAGAACUAAGUUUAGAAGAGUUACUUACCUCAAACCAUGCAAAUCUCUACUCCAAUAAGCUAGCCUCACGAAUCAGCCUCUGAACGCCUCGAAUGUAGCCACAAACAACUCGAUACAAUCAAUACAAGCUAUAAGAAUUAAUUCCGUAUGAAAAUGCUAAGUUCUUAAUUAAAAGUCAAGAAGUCAACUCAAAAGUUCAACCCUAGGCCUACAUCUCAGAAUCCAACAAAAGUUUUAAAAUUCGAAUACUCAUUCACCCACGAGUCCAACAACACCAAAAUUACCAAAUUCCGAUACCAAAUCGUCACUCAAACCUCCAAUUCUUACUCUCCAAUCCCUAGCCCAAAACUCCCAAAAUUCCACCUUAAAAACACAUAAACUAGGUGGGAAAUUCAAUGAGUAUUCAAUAUUAAUGAGCAAAAAUUAUCAAAAGUGGCUUACCUCCAGAAAUCCCAUGAAUAUGUUGCACCUUGAAAUCAUCAUUCUUGAUAUAUAUGUAAUGUCAUGGAAUUGUAGCGACCCGACUAGUCGUUUUGAAAAAUUGUAACUGGUUUGAUAGCUUGAGGUCAUGGGUAGCUUCACCUAGUGUAUUAUGACUUGCGUGCAUCAUCGACUCGAGUUUUUGAAUGGUUCGGAAAUGAUUUUAAGUGGUGACUCUCAUUUGAGAAGCUCGAUGUUGAAGAAAUUGACCAAGUUUGACUUUUUAGGUAUUUUACCUCAAAUAGGAAAUUUGAUAGUUUCAGUAGGCCCCGAUAGUGAUUUUGGACUAGGUUUUAUGCCCGGAUUUGCAUUUGGAUGUUUCUAGAAGGUUUCGGCAUCGUUUGGCAGAAGUUGGCAAUUUAAAGGUUUAGAAUUUUCCUAGGUUUGAUCAUGGUUUGCCUUUAAGGCUACCGGGUUCAGAUUUUGGGUUCGGGACUUGGAAUAGGUUAGUUUUGUCAUAUGGAACUUGCCUGUAGAAUUUAGUGUCAUUUGGAGUUGAUUUGAUAUGAUUCAGAUACGUGGUUGUGAUUCUAGAAGUUCUUGAAGCUCAUGGGAAUUUCCAUGUCUUUUGGCAUCCGCUUCGUGAUUAUAGAGGCUAUUUUGAUGUUUUGAUCACGAGAGCGAACUCAUGUUAUAUUUUUAGACUUGUGUGGAUGUUUGGUUUUGAGCCCCGAUGGCUCGAAUGAGUUUCGUACGCAUUUCGAAGUGUUUGGAAGAAGGUCCAGAUUUGCUAGUGUUCUGAUCUCGCGUUUGCGAGUUGAGGGUCUCAUUUGCGACUACCGCUUUUGCGGACUUGUGAUCGCUUUUGCAAAGAGGCUGGGAACUGGCGGGCUUCGCAUUUGCGAAGCCAGCCUCGCAAAUACGAUGGUGUACUGGGCAGUAGUAGUUCACUUUUGCGAAUAUUUGGACUGCUUUUGGGAAUGCCCUAUCUUCGCAUUUGCGACAUGAUUUAUCGCAUUUGUGAUAGAGGCAGAACUGUUCAAUUUUGCGAAGUAAUGUCCUCGUUUUUGGGGUUCGCAUUUGCGAACCGCUUGUCGCAAAUGCGACAUCUGCAGCCUGUGUGUAGAUGUGCGCUUCAGGAGUUCGCUUAAUUUUGAUAUGUUUUGAACCCUAGCCUCGAUAGGAGGUGAUUCUUUGGCGGUAUUUUCAUACCAAACUAUUUGGUAAGUAAUUAUAAUCAACUUUCCAUUAUAUUUCAUGAUUAUACAUUAGAUUUAACAUCAAAUGCAUGCGAAUCUAAUGGAAAAAUUUGGAGAUUUUGUCAAAGUUUUGAAAAAUAAAAAUUUGGGAUUUGAGAGUUGAAUUUGAUUCGGAUUUGGAAACAAAACACGUAUAUGGACUUGUGGGGCUAUGGGUAGUCAAGACCAACCCUUGGACCCGUUUUUUGAUCGGACGAGUCCGAGGUUGACUUUUGUUGACUUUUUAGAAAUUGUAUAAAGAUCAUAACUUUGUUAAUUGAAAUUGUUUCUCUUGCAAUGUUUGAUGUAUUUAAGUCGUCUUUGGCUAGAUUGAGCUGAGCAGAGGUGAAUUUGUCAAGGAAAAGCUAAUUUGAGUAUUGAUUUGGCCAAAUUGAGGUAAGUAUAUUGUCUAACUUUGUAUGGGGGGAAAGUACCCCCUAGGAUUUGAGGUAUUUGUGUUAUACAUGUUAUGUGAAAGCCGUGUACACGAGGUGAUGAGUGGGUACACGGCCUAUAUGUGGUAUUUGACCAGUUUUGAGUUUCUAAACACUUUCCAUGCCUUUAAUUGAAGUAUCAUAACUUGUAAUAUCUAUCAUUUUUAAUCUACUCUUACAUGCUCUACUUGACAUUGUUAGCACCUAUUCUUUCUCUUGUUAUUUUGAAUUUAUAUGCUUUAGUUAAAGUUGUUGCCUUCCUUAUUGUCUUUUGACCUCUUAAUUAUUGCCUUCCUUCCAUGACUCCAUGCUUAUUUGCUACUUGUUUUAAUUGUUGUAAUUGCAUGCCUUAGUUGUCUCGUGCUUCAUUUGUCCUGUUAUUUUUGUAGUAUUUGUUGUGUUCCUUGAUUUUUACAUGAUUCCUUCAUUGUCGUGUACUCAAACCCUAUGAUUGUCGAAAUUCUUGUAAAUUGAGUAUUGGAGUGUUGAUCUUAUUGAUUUAUUUAUGGAUCGGGUUGGAUGUAGCAACAAGUGAAAUAAGGGAGGAUUUAUAUUGAUAUGGUGGGAUCAGGUUACGCACCGCAACAGGUGAAAUAAGGGUGGAUUGAUAUGUUGAAAUAAGGGAGAAUUAUGAUAUAGACUCUAAUUAAAUGGUGAGAUCAGGCUGCGUGCCGCAACAGGUUAAAUACGGGUGGAUUGAUAUGGUGAAAUAAAGGAGAAUUAUAAUAUUCACUCUGAUUAUAUGGUGGGAUCGGGUUGCACGCCGAAAUAUAUAUAUUUACUUAUUAUUUUGAUAUUUACAUUUUGGAAUAAGGGAGGAUCUUGUUGUGUGGUGGGAUCGGGUUGCGCGUCACAAUAAUUUAUGUGUUUUCUAUUCCUUGUUUUAUUGUAUUGGCUUCGAUUUUUUCGUAUAAGACUUGAGGAUUGGUAUUUCUGGUUUUUACUGAUUUUCGAGGAUUUAGUUGUUUUCAUUAGUUUACUGCUUUGCUGUCAUUUCCUGUUUUCCUUUCCUAUUACUAUUAUUUUGUGAAUUUAUCUUCGAGAUGACUUUACUACGCUAAGUCAUUAUCUCAUACCCUGUCGAGUUGUCAGAAACAUAAUGGUUUUAAAUAAAAGAAUUAAUAACAUGCUUACCUUAUAUGAAUCUUAAGUUAAAACUCGUCGUUUCAUUCGGUACCUUACUAUUUUUAAUAGUUGUCAUAUUUCACUUUAAUCGAUUUCUCAACUUAAUCUCCCUACUGUCACGACCCAAAAUCCUAACAUGUCGUGAUGACGCCUAACGUAGUACUAGGCAAGCUGAUUUCUGCCAAAUAUUUCCAAUAUUUUUAGCAAGAAUGGAUUUAAAGCAGUUUUAGUAGUAAAAGUUCGCAUAACCAGUAUAGAAAACCCAAAAUAUAAUGCGAAAUUUCCAACUAUCGGGGUGUCACAGAGUACAUGAGCAUAUAUAUAUAUAUAUAUCACAAGUUUGGAAAACACAAUCUAUAAUAGUCUACGACCAAAUACAAUAAUCAAGAAGAUAAGGAAGGAGAGACAAGGUCUGCGAAACACCGGCAGCUACCUCGAAAUCUUUCUUCGGAUAAUCAACUGUGCGAAGAAAUCAACACCCACUGUGUCCGGGAACACCUGGAUCUGCACACGAAGUGCAGGGUGUAGUAUGAGUAUAACCAACUCAGCAAGUAACAAUACUAAAUAAAGAUCUGAAAGUAGUGAUGAGCUUCACAGUUGAGUCCAACUACAGUAAUUUCUAUCAUAACAAGGUAGGCAUGCUUUCAAGUUCAAUAUUUAAUGACAAAACAAUAAUUUCAUGUCAGGUUCAACUGAAAUAUAAGAUAAUAUCUCUCAGAAAUUUUCAAACAGUGGUAUAAGAAAGCUGAAGUGCAACAAUAGUGAAAUCAAAUGCAUCCUCUUAGGACCACAGUCAAUCAGCCACUUCAUUCACUCAGCACUCGGCACUCAGCAUUCAGCGUGUAUAGAGCACUCAGCACUCAGUAGGUACCUGCGCUACUAAGGGUGUGUACAGACUCCGGAGGGGCUCCUUGAUCCCAAGCGCUAUAAUCUGCACACAUAACUCACGUGCUAUAGUAUCAAUAUCUGGAUCCGUACGGACAACUCACGUGCUAUAAUAAUAUAUCUGGAUCCAGAUGGACAACUCACUUGCUGCACGGACAAGUCACGUGCUACAGUAUAAUAUAUGAAUCCGCACGGACAAAUCACGUGUUGCACGGACAACUCACAUGCUAUAUUAUAAUAUAUCACAAUCAGGCCCUCGGCCUCACUCAGCCAUAAAUCUCUCCAGUCUCUCGGGCUCUCAAUAAUCAUGAAAAUCAGCCCAAACAAUAAUAAUAUGAUGCAUCAAUAAUGAAUAAUAGAGACAUAGAUAAAAUAAAUAAGUAAACUGUGACUGAGUACAAAAUAAUUAUUAACAGAUAAUUCAACAUUUACAUGACCUCUGUGGGUCCCUACAGUACCAACACAUAAUCUAAACAUGAUUUGUGGUUCAAUUUUUCUACUACAUGAAAAAUAUAUAGAUAACAACAGAUUAUUCAACUACACAGUUCCAUGGAAUUUGACCAAGUCACAAUUUCUACGGUGCAACGCCCACAGGGCCGUCACCUAGCAUGCGUGUUACCUCAAAACCGAUCACAUAUCACAUAAUCAGGGAUUUCAUACCCUCACAACCAAAUUAGAAUUGUUACUUACCUCAAACCUCGUAGUUCUUUAUUCUGCUAUGCCAUUGCCUCGCGAAUCGGUCUCCAAAUGCCAUGAAUUUAGUCACAAAUAAUUCGAUUCAGUCAAUACAAAUUAUAGGAAUUAAUUUCAUAUGAAAAUAUAAAUUUUCCAACAAAAAUCCGAAAUUGCAAUCAAAAUUCGCCCGUGGGGCCCACGUCUCGGAACCCUACAAAAGUUACAAAUAUGAACGCCCAUCCAAUCACGAGUCCAACCAUAUAAAUUUUACCAAAUUCCGACAUCAACUCGACCCUCAAAUCCUCAAUUAAAGUCUUUGAAGAUUUCUACCAUUUUCAACGCAAUCUUUACCCAUUUGAACUCAACAAUCUUUUCACAAACCUUAUUGGUAUGUGUAUGUAUAAAUAAUACUCUCACACCCAAGAAUCAUACUCCCAAUCACCCAUCUUUACCCAAACUAAAAAUUAAAGACUAGGGUUAGAACCUUACAUCUUGGGUGAAGAUCUUGUGAUAUUUCUUGGUAGAUUUCAAAGCUUGAACAAGAUCUUGAUGAACAAAGCACUUGGGCUUCUUCCUCUCUCUAGAACACUCUCACUUCUCUCUAAAAUAUCAAAUUUUUGCCUUCAAAAUGAGCCCCAAAGGCUAUUUAUUAAAAUAGGGUCGGGUUAUAAAAAUCAGAAAAUAAAACUCCGGGAUAGGAUCUGCGGUCGCAUAUGCGCGAAAUGGACCUUGGGAACUGGGCACAUUCUGCCCGAGUAGCGACCAUUCUGCGGUGGCAUAAUGGACCGCAAAACACUUAUGCGGCCGCAUAGUCGCCCAAAAUUUGCUCGGGUUUCCGCUUCGUUUUGCGAUAAAUCCGUGGUCCGCAUAACAUUUUUGUGGUCGCAAAAUAGACCGCAGAAUGUCCUUCUUCUGUCAAAAGUUUUCCUCAACACUUAAGUGCAUUCUUCAAAACCUUAUUUUCCUCAACACCUAAUAAUCUACCUCGGCACCAUAAAACCUUAAUUUUUUUAGCAAAAAUUUUUCGGGGUCGUUACACAUAAGUCAACAUCCGGUCAACCUUUUGUACUUAAAUUCUAAACCUUGGAACCAAGUAUUUCAAAUCAUUCCAAAACCUCACCGGAUCCGAACCAAUUACCCCGGCAAGUCAAAUAACAAUCGUAAAGUACAAUUUGAGCAGUAAAUGGGGCGACGGGGUUAUAAUACUCAAAAUGACCGGCCGGGCCGUUACACCUACCCUAUCUGAUAUUUCUACUUCACAAAAAAAGAGAAAUUUCUAAUAUGUUUUAAUUAGUUAAAUUCUAUAUUUAUAUUAGUAGCUUAUCUGAUGCCUUAUUAUAUUUGAAAAUGUUAUUCUCUUCACCCAAAUAUUUUCCAAAAUAAACUCAUUUUCUCAUUGAUUUCCCGUUUGGUUUAGAAACUGUAAUUUUAUUUUAUUAUAUAUGAAUAGAUCCCUCGAAUAUUAUUUAUUAGCAUUUGACACGUAUACUAUAUACCUGGUAGCACGUGGAUUUUGAUAUACCGAUUCGAUUUGAGCUCCUAGAAUUGGGAAUAAAUACGACAUCGGAUCGCGAAAUCUUGGUAAUCUUCUCUAUCUAAUGAAUGUGGAGUCUGAUUUAAAAUUGUUCGCCCUGCACUCACCCCAGAGUAUAUGCUUCAACAGAAAUCAGACAAGGGUAAAUUAGGAACCUCUGGUAAAAUGCCCGUCCGUAACCCAGCAAGAAAAGGGAUUUUUUUGAGUAUUUUAGAAAGGGUCGGUUAGGAGAGGGAGGCAUCUAUAAUUGAAUAACUAUAAGUCAACCCAUCUAGAUGUUUUGACGCUUGAUUUUCGAAUAGGAUUGAAUCUAAGAUGAACGCUUGGUUUACAUUAUGGAAGAAAGACAAGUAUAUGUGAUAUUAGAUAUUGACUAGUGCGAGUUAUAAAUGAAAUGAACUAAAGAUAUAUUGUGAGCACCUAAUUUUUGACCAUAUUUGAAUUUUUACUCACUUUUUAGUAUUUAAUUAGUUUUUAAGUUUAAUCUUAAUAUUUUAAUUUUAUUUUACCUUUUUAUAGGUUUAUUUUAGAUAAAUUGAAAAUCAACAAAAACGUUUCACAAUGAUAGAGUAUACAAUUUUGUUCUAAUUGGCAAAAAAAAAAAGAGAACACACAAAAAUAUGUUUUCCUCUUAUUUUUAGUAUGUUAGUAAUUUUGGAAUUGCUUUCUAAUAGUUCCUAGACUGGAAGUAGCUAGUUAAUAUUUAAUUUUUCUAUCUCAAUUUAGUAGGAAUAAUAUUUUAAAUUUUUUUUAUCCUUUACAAGAAAAUCAAAAAUAAAAGAAUAAAGAACCAAUCAAAUUUUGCCAACUCUUUUGUCUUCUUGUUGAGUUUUUGUCUUUUAGUCAAGAUUCCUCCCUAUCCCAAAAGAACUAACUCAUAAGGCAUAUUCUCUCCCCCUCACGUGAUUUUUCUCACAGAGUAAUCACCUGCACCUUAUUUUGGAUCUUUUAUCCAUUCACACAUUUUUCAUGAUCUAAAUUUCUUUCUCUCCAAGACUUUGCCCACACAACUUAUAUAUACAGACCUAAAGCUAACCAUAGGAAAAAGGGAAAAAAACGGGCGAGGCAGAAACCAAAAGAAAGGGAACGAAAGAAGUCUGGGAGGGGAUCAGAUAGAAAAAUGGAGGGGACGUGAGAAAAUCGAUAGCGGCGCAGCAGAAGCAAGCUUUCCAUCCCCUUCUCUGAUUUUGCAACUAAAUUCAUAUCCAAACUGCAACCUUUUAUCCUCACCAAUCAUUAACCACGUUUUUCCCUUCUCAAUCCAAUUUCCCCAUGAGGCUCUAGUUCAAAAAGAAAUAAGUCAUCUCUCUUUUCUUUUCCAUACGAAACAGAGGUUCUAUUUCUGUGGUCUGAUUUUCAAAGGAUUACGAGCUUCGAGGUCGCCGAUCGAGGUCUCCGGUCGCAGGUUCAUCUGCUCGUUUAAGGAUUUGUUCAGUUUUUUUAUUAAUACAGUCUUUCAAAGAGUGUGCAACAGUAAAGAUGCACUUUUCAAACUUUCAUCUUAUUUCAUCUCAUUAUUCUGGUUUGGUGAAGGAUUUUGAUUGAUUUUGGUAUUCUGUUAUGUUGGUUUGUUUGCAUUUGCUGUCUUAGUUUCAUUAUUUGGUUAAAUGUCUUAAUUCGUGACAGUGAAUAGGAUGAAUUGAUAUUUCAAUGCAACUUUGAUUUAUAUCACUUAAAGCUUCGUGACUUAUCCGGUAAAUGAAAUGGCAAAGGAAACGACUUGAGUUGAAAUUGAUUUAGGCAUUUGGUGUGCCGCAGGGAUAUAGUAUGCUGUUGUUUUUAGUUUAGCCUUCAUGUCUAGUUGGUACUUAAAUCACUAUUAUCUUGAACUUGCUUGAUAAUUUUUUUUUAUUGUUUAACUUGAGCUACUGUGUUGGUUAAUUAGGGAAAGAAUUUUGGUUUAAGUUGGUUUUAAAUAUAAAUGGUUUGUUGUAGCAAUCUUGCUUGAAAUUAUAAGCACACAGUGAGUUAGGCUCAGGUUGAUAAAAUUGAAAAGGGGUUUGGUCGAGGAAGUUUAUUUGAAGUUAGAAAAGAAAUUGGGCUUGAGAGCAUUUCCUAUUAUUUUGCUUAUGUUUUUUUUGUCUAAUUGUGUCGUUAGAAUGUAUGUUUAACUUAAAAUUACACUUUUCCAAUAAUGUCAUAUCCAUAAUUCGUGACCUCACAAUAAUCUCAAGCUUAAGUAAUUAAACAACUUAUAAACCAUCGCUAGUUGCUUUACGCGCGAUUAAUAAUAAAUCAUCGUGACUAUGGGUACGGUUCCCGUGGCAUGGUCACGAUACGUACAUUCCAAUUCGGGUAUGCAUUUCAUGUGAUCCGACGACCAUAACUUCAAAUAAUAAUAAAAACAAACAUGUUGUAAACCGCGGGUGCAUUUCAUGUUACGCGAUUCGCAAUGUGUUCAAAAAAAAUGAGUGUGCGACAUCGCAACUUGUUCAAACAGAUUCCAUAAAUAAUUAAAAGCGAUUUAAAAGAUUAAAAAUGCACAAUAGGUUUUAAACAUGUAAUAAAUCAGAUAAUUAGGCCAAUUAUUAAUAGUUGAGCGACCGUGCUAAAACCACGGAACUCGGGAGUGCAUCACACCUUCUCCCGGGUUAACAGAAUUCCUUACCCGGUCUUCUGGUUUCGCAGAUUUUAAACAGAGUAAAAAUUUCCUCGAUUUGGGAUUUAAAAUAAACUGGUGACUUGGGACACCAUAAAUUAUUCCAAGUGGCGGCUCUGAACUAAAUAAAUAAUCUCAUUUCGAUUAAUGUCGCUUAAAUUGGAAAAACUCUCAUAUCCCCCUCGGGAAAAAGGAGGUGUGAUAUAUAUUUUACUACUCAAGGGGAUUCCAAUAGACUAGAAGUCCUUCGGGGCCCUUGUGACUGUGAAUUGAAUGAAUAAACGGAUGAAAUCAAGAAAUAAUUCAUUAUCUUUUUAUAAUCAAUUUCUUAUAGUAUUUCUUUCAAUUAACAUGUAACCAAUUAUUUAGUUAUUUGAAGAUAUUGUUAGUAUUAGGUAUGAUUUUAGUUGUUUUAAUUUUGAAAAUUUUUCUUUUGUCCUUCAAACAUACUAAUAACAUCCAAUAUCUUUCAAAGUAACAAUUGUAAUGGUAUCUGUAUUUAAAGGAAACCGUAAGCACAUCAAAGAUAAGUUUCACUAGUGGAAAGAUCAAAAGCGCACAUUUUAAUUAUUUGAACGUUAAAUGUGCUUAACCAGAUAUUACAAGAAUGAAACUUAGAGUAUGUCGAUAUCACAGGGGCUGAAAUGUGAAUUUUUUUGUUUACUUUCCAAGGAUGCUCCUUUGAUAACUCGACCACACGAUCUUAAGGUGAAGAUGGAGGGUAGGGUGCCUACGACUUGAGUGGUUUAAAAAGUAGUUCAUUGAUACGAUUCUUCAAUAUUUCCUCUGGAAAUCGAAACUCAUCGCCAUCUGAAUAUGCGAAAUAAGACGAUUUGCAUGUCUUCCAAAAAAUAUCCUUGCACACUUGUGGCAAUUGGCUUCCUUUUCUUUGAAUUAGAACCAUCCCUAGCAACUCUCUUCUCUUAUUUUCCAGCAUUUCCUUUGCAUGUUUUAUAGCUUCUUCUUCAGAGAUUUUUCCUUCACUCUG
rnacentral:lncRNA from 1 species